rnacentral:lncRNA from 1 species
UACCCGCCCCUUUUUCUUUGGGGCAACCUACAAAUAUUUUAAAAACAUUAUGGUUAGAAAUUUAAUUUAAAACUAAAGUUACAUUAAUUAAAUAUAGUAAUUAAAUUUACCUCUUCGAAGAUCUGGUCCAUCUCCGCCACCGUCAGCGCCGGGGUCGAUUGGACCGAGCUACCUCCGGGAGACGUUUGACACGCCUGCUGAGUCAGCUGCGUCUGUCGCUCCUCGAUCGCCGCACAGGCGGCGUUGUAGAUCUCCUCCGCCCGAGGAUCCGUGAAUUCGCCGUUAGGCUUCUUAUGCUUCUCGGCGAAAACCUUCGUCAUCGGAGGAAGUUCUCCUCCGUUAUCUUCGACCUACAAAAUCAAAAUGAAAAAAUUAAUUAGUAUCGAGAAAUAAAAGUUAAUUAUUUGAAAACAAAAAAAUUAGUAAUUUUAAUUUACUUACCAUCAUAAGCCGUCUUCCGGCAAAAGGAAUCUGGCCGGAAGUGUGCGGGAUGUUCUUCCGAUUUCCCGCAUCGUCAGUAGCGUUCCUGAAAAAUAUUUUCAUUAGAAUCUAUUAUAAGAAAAAAAAAAUAAUGUUAAUAUUAUUGGAAUUAACUACUUACCUAGAUCCGGAACACUUGGCGGUCGUAGUCUGGUUGUGCGGAUCCAACCAGUACUGGACAAGGCCCCGCCAGACGGUAUUAGCCAUAGGCUCCGGCUUGGCCUUGUCGCCGUCAACCUCCCACUUCCGUUUCCAGUCGGAAACGGUGUUGUUGAGGCGGAAUUUGACCUUCUCCUUGAAGGCCGUCUCCACACGUCCGUGUGCGGAUGUUUCCCAAUGCCAGUUUUGCUAGGAAAAAAAAAGAAGUUAGUAAUUAUUGUAAAAAGUUAAAAUUUAAAAUUACAAUUAAACGAAAUGGUAAAUUACUUACCACAAAACACUUGAACCAAGUGUCAAGUGUGGCCUGAUCCAGCUUCUUACAGCUGGUAUGGGGUUGUACGAAAAACCCUUUGAUGAUAUCCGCAACGUUACGACCAACUGCAUUGUCGGUCGUAAACCUAGUCAAAUGGAAAGAGAAAAAGUAAAUUAAUAUCAAAUAUAUAAGAAUAAAUAUUAAUUAAUUUAAAAAUAUUGUAGGAAAAAAAUUACGUACCAAAAGGUGCCUGGGGCUCGAUCCGGGUCGAGUUUGUUCAUGGUCUCACGACCGGGUUGCGCCAGAAGAUCCUGUACCGUAAACAGGGCAUACGGUACAUGCGGGAUCGGAUCAGCCUCAGGAUCAGCCUGGGCGGGAGCCGCUGGUUCGGCUGGUGGUGGUGGAGGCGGUGCCGGCUGCGGAACAACUACCGGUUGGGAAACCAUCCGUUGUGUUCCCGAGGACUCCGGGAUGGCUGAUCCGGUUGCCGAGGUAGACGGGGCCGUAUCGUCAGAAUCGACGAGCUGUCGGUAGUGAAAUCUCUUAGCCCGAGGAGCCAUAUCGACAGAAUCUACAAAAUUUUAAAAAAUUAGUUACUAAUUUUUCAAAUAUUUAUUUAAAUUUACCAAAAUCCGGGCCUAACUAAAUUCUGAAACCUAAAUCUAAAUUCCGAACCUAAAUCUAAAUUCUGAACCUAAAUCUAAAAUAAUAUUUAAUGAAAUUAAUUUAACAAAAAUACUUACAAAUUAAUUGGCUGGAGAGUAGGGAGAAAAGGGAGAGGUUUAUUUGUAGAGAAAUAGAGAGAUUUCUAGAGAGAGAGGGAAGAGAGGAAUGAGCGACGAAGGAGGAAAUCUCGCGUCCCUUAUAUAGAUUUUGUGAUCGUCGUAACAUUACGACGGUUUUACGACGAUUCGGUUGUAUAACAGUCGGUCCACUCUAUGACAUGACACGUGUCGUGAUGGGAGCAUUUGACCGUUACGAUAGUUUUACGACGAUUAAACCCCAAACCAUCGUAAAAUCGUCGUAAGGUCUAAACAUUCAUAACCUCGUACCUCGGAUCAAGAGCCUAUCCGGUGCAAACAUUACGGCGGUGUUACGACGGUUUUGGGUUUAAUCGUCGUAAAACCGUCGUAACUUUACGAGUAUAUUACGACGGUUUUACGAUGUUUUUUUUAAAAGUGAGUAAACCCUAAAUCUUAUAAAUGGGAUAUUGCAUAAAGAACAAUGCAAAGGUUAUUGUAUCCUAACAUAUAACAAAAGGUUUACAACUUUGCAUGUAUGAUGGAUUUAUGACAUGAGAUAGUAAAAAUUGAAAUUCCGUAAUCUAAUAUAUAACCUUUCACUUAACAUUUACGAAAACAUGCAUGAACUUGUAAAUAUGUAUGUUUUUUUUCAAAUUUUUGAUUUUGAUCAGAUUGAUAGCAUUUCAUAUAAAAUAAGAUAAUCAAUCAAAAACAUUGGUGAAAUACCUUACAACCAAUAAGAUAUAAAAGAUUCAAAUUCUUGGAUUUCAACAUUACGACGACAUUACGACGAAAUAGUGUACUCGUCGUAAAACCGUUGUAAAACCGUCGUAACUUUACGACGAUAUUACGAUUGUUCGUCGUAAAGACGUCGUAAUGUUGAAACCCUAUUCAUUCAGGGCUUAAAACCUAGACUUAGGGUUUAGGGUUUAGAAAAACCGUCGUAAAACCGUCGUAAAAUCAAAUUUUAGGGUUUUUAAAAAAUUUAAAGUCUCCCAAACUCGGAAGGUUCUAAAUAAGGAAAGUCGAGGAUUCAUCCGUUUAGAGAUCAAAUAUCUCCUUAAAAACAAAAAUCUGAUCUCAGCAUGAUUAAUUUUCUAGUGGUUCUCUGAAAAAUCAAUAAUCCAGAACAAGUUCUUUGAUUUCUUAAUUUCUUCCUGGUCUGGUCGGAAACUUCCUAUUAAGUUGCAUAUAUCCAAAUCAGGUAAAUUUGGGAUCACCCGAUUUGUAAUCUGAAUAAAUCCUUCUUCUGAUCUCCAAUUGGACUGAUUCCCAGCGUACCUAAGUUGGAUCUAGAUUGUAGACCAAGUGGGUUCAUGUCUUAAAUCCGUCGGAUCCAGAUUGUAGACCAAGCAAGUAGUUUAGUUGUUGGGUUUAAGGGAUCCAUCUCCAUGUUCGAUUAGGAUUUUUUUUCUUAACCAUAUUCUAGAUCUCAUCUCUUCUAAACUUAUUCAUAUUGCAUGGAGUUAGAGUCAUGAACUAACAACUGAUCUUAGGUAAAUUAAGCUACGAGAGUGUUUUAUUAUUUGACUAGACAUAGCUUCAGGAAAAUGAAAUCAUUAUAGGAGACCUAUAGAAUAUUGUGAGCAAAGAUGAAACUUGUAUGAUAUUGCAUGAUCUCUCUCGGCUAGAGAUGAAAGUUACUGGUCAAGUUUAAGUGAUUAGUUGGUUAGUUACGCGACAGCAAUCUGAUCAUACCUAUGUGUUUUUUAGUUCAUUGUAGAUUACUAGAAACCGAUUUUAAGAGCUUAGGACCCUAACAUGAAUUGAACAUCCUCUAAUAUAUUCUUGCCAGUCCAACAUUUCUUUUAUCGUUAGCCCAUAUCGAUUUUAUUUAUUGUUUUUUUUUAAUUGAUUUUAGUUUUUCUUAUGACACCAAACCAUAUAAAAAGUCAUCUUGAGUUUUUGAAUUUGUUAAUUAAUUUCAGUUUAAUAUUUUUGCAGAAAAGACAAUUCUCCAUGUGGAUCGACACCCUUAAUACUAGAUCGGAGUGAUGUGCACUUGCAGACACUAGGAUUACAAAUUUAAAACAUCUAACUGCGACCUCAAACCCUAGCAAGAUCAUCUUCCACGAGCAACAUAAGCUUCUCCACUCUUUUGAGAACCGGCUUGACCUGAUUCCCCCAACUCAAUUUUCAUUAAUUUUGUCGCACUUGCCACAUGCUCUAUGGUGAGAGUAUCUCAGCCAUAAUUGAGUGUUUCCUUUAAGGAAUUGUAUUGAUGUGGCAGUGAAUUCAACAGGUGAAUAGCCUGAACCUCUUCAGACACAGAAUCCUUCACGCUACUCAAAUCAGAUACCAGUUUGAAAAAAUCAUCUAUAUGCUGAUCAAUAGAUUUUGAUUCCAUCAUCUUGAAUGAAUAGAACUUUUGUUGUAGAUGAAUUCUAUUUGGUAACGACUGAGAAUUGUAUAACAUUUCUAAAGCAGUCCAGAUCGAUGCAGCAGAAUUUCAAUCCUCGAGCUUCCUCAGAACAUGAUCCCCAAGAUUCAGUAUAAGUAUCUCUCGGACUUUUCAAGCCAGUCAGAUUUUUCUUUCAGCUUCCUUUCUGAAAAUGUACCUUCAUCUUCACCUUUCUUUUUCUCGAUCUUGACUCCAGAUUCGGUAAGAGACUCUUUGAGCCCAAGGACUGAGAGGUGCGCGCGAAUAUCUUCUUCUUCCACAUCAAGAAAUCCAUUUGAUCGUCGAAGCAGGCUAUUUCAAUCUUCGGAUUCUUUGAAUCUUUUCAGAACCUGGCUCUUAUACCACUUGUAGUGAUUUGUUAUCUUCUUCUUUGUCUAGUUCUUGAGUGUCGAGAGAGUGUGAGAUACCUAUCCUAUUGGUGGUGGUCUUUGGUCAAUUCUGCGAUUCAUUCAGAAUGAGAAUCCUGCAUCUCAGCCUGAAGAUUUCCCAGUAAUUCACUAUCUUUCUUGGUGAUUACAGAAUCGUUUCUAUCUCUCUACAAUUCAGCUCAACAGCCAUCAUUGAGAGACAGAACACACACACAUGUUGUUUAUAACAAUGUCUAUUACAAUUACUAAAGUCGGUUAACUUUGAGAUACUCAAAUUAAGUAAACCCAAGUGACAUAACCAGUCGGAUUUAUGCUCAUACCGAAACCUGAUUUUCAUCACAAGUCCUAACACUUUCACAUAACUUUAAGGACAACGAUCCUUUUCAGGUAUUCGAAUUUUAUUGUAAUUUUCCCAGUGGGGACUCAAGACCAUGAUCAUCGACUAGCCAUAGACCAAAGUCUUGAAAGCGUUUCAUCUUCCUGCUGAAACCGACCAUGUAGUUAUUGUGGAUUAUGACAUGUUUUUCCUUUGUGUUUUUCGCCCAUCUUAUGUUCCUGAAGUACAGUCCUCCUGAUGGGAAAGCUGCUUGGGGAAGCAAGUAGACAUCUACCUACAUAAUAGAAGAUCACAAAAGAGUUAAAAAUGACUUCGAACAAGUGGAAGUUAACUUUGAGGUUAAAAAAAGUUGUAAUCAAAGACUCACAAGUAGAUUAGAGGAAUUAUGAGUAGAUAAAGUUAGAAUCUUAGAGUACCAAAAAAAUUUGUAAUAUGUUCCAUCAAGAUGAUAGCUUUUAUCGGUCAAUCUUAUUCGAAUUACAUUUUAGGACAAACAUUAAAUAUUACUUAGACUAUCCAGUUAACAAACUAGAUUAUGAUACCAUGUUAAUAUUCAUGGACUCAAACCCAAGACACAAGUCAUAAUCAUACAUUCUUAAGUACAAUAGUGAAGUUUUGAGUAGUUAAAGAAGAAUUUUUAAAGCAAGAGAUAGAAAGAAACAAAAUUUAUCUACAUACAUAUGCCUCUAUAAAUUUAACUAUAAUAAAAGAAAUUUAAGAGUUACAACUUUUCUUUCGUGUUCGUUUUCUUUCUCACAUAAAUCCAUACAAUAAUCAAAACAACGAAACUAGAUAAAGGGAAUAACCCAUGGGGCAAGGUCGAUCAACACAGUCAUAUCCUCGUGUCAAACAACAGAUCCGAGAAUUCCACAAAAAAUAAUAUAGAAUACCGAAAGGUUUAGCCUUUCAAGAUUGUAAGCUUUAAUACCACUAAAUCAAGCAAAUAAGUAACUACAUCUUGUGACGAAUUUUUAAAAAAAUAUGUUACUGUGGAACUUGGAGGAAGCAACAUGACAUACCUGAUGAGCUGUUUUGUUAAGUGCCCGAUUAAAAGCAGGCUGAUCAUGUGGUUUUGCUUUGGAGUUGGACCAAGGUUGAGCUUCAAUUUCUUCAGCCCAUUUCUUCAUUAAAAGCUUUGCUCCAUUAGUGGGACGCAAGAAAAUCAUGCAACUACAUAUAUUAGUUACUCCAUAUCGAUUCAGAGGUGGUAAAUCAUGUGAUUCAUUCAAAGGCUUAACCUGGAAACACCAAAAUCGAACUCAAUUAUAAAGAUAUAUACAUACACAUUCUAAAACGCAGAAGUUAUUAACAUUUUACAUACUGUAGUCACGUCAUCCGUGAAGUAUACGUCGUGGCUUCCUUCUAAAUACUGAAAAGGAUCAUUUAGCCAGACCAUAUCAACAUCAUUAUACAUAACACUGUAACCUAGCUCCAAAAUGUCCAAGAGAUGUUGCGGCCUCCGACAGGUAAGAUUGUAGAAACCCUAAUAGGAUAUGACAAUUUAGUUACAAAGAUGGUUGUGUUGCAUUACAAGAUCUUUGCAUAGAUUAUCACAUACAAAAAGACAAAGAUAGAUAAUCACUAAAAUUCGAUCAAAAUCAAAAAGAAAAAGGGUUGCCACUAUAUGCACAACAAAUUCACCAUCUUUUGUGAUAUAAUAAACAUUACUCAAAAUUGAAACCUCAUGGACUAUACUGUAAAAAUGACUUCCACCUGAAAAUCAAUUCGCAAUGAAUGGAUUGGUCAUAUUUUAUUUAUUUAUCAUUAUUGUUGGUUGCUUCACCCUUCUGAUUUGAAAUCGCUAAAAUGUUCCUUUAAAAUUGUGAUUAAUUUGGCUGCCCGAGAUCUUGCCUGAACCAGCACUGAAAUUUCCGGAUUCUGGCCUAGAAAUCUAAGCCCCAAAAAUUUUAGGCAGAGCCCGUUCGAACAAGUGAAAUUUUUAGGUUUGCCUCGAACAGGCUUUGGCAAGAAGCAUGGGCUAUAAACAUUUUGAUUAAGUUAGUGGUUUUCUUUAGGAUUUAACUUUUUAAAAUUUAGAAUAUUUUCUAUGUAUUUUUCAUUAAUCGAGAACCCUAACUUUUUAAUUAUGUCUUACUAUCAAUUCAGACUGACGUAUUAGAGUAAAGCCUUGAAAACUACUGGUUCGGGUCUAGAAAACAGGUCCAAAAAUAUUGGGUCUUUUGGUCAAGUAAAUUUUUUAGGCUGAACCUGGUCGAGUUUGAGCUGACCUAGAAAGCCUAUGUCAUUUUGAUUAAGUUACAGGUUUUGUUUAAAGAUUUAAACUUUAAAAUUAUGAAAUAUCCUAGUUGUGUCUUACUAUAAUUUUUUUAAAGUCUACAUUAGUACUGGUGUGCUUUUUUUUUUAAAAAAAAUAGAAAUUAUUCUACCAAAAAACGUUAAAGCAUUGAUUUGCACACGCUCUUGGUUGGAUGAGUUUACAUUUCGUGAUCCAGGUAACAUUAACAUUCAUACAUAUUUAUUUUUUAUUUAUUAAAUCAUUCAUUUCUAUAUGAUUUAAACAUGGCAAAUUUGAUACUUUUUUUUGGUAGCUGGUGUUGAGAAAUUAGAAGACGCUGAAAGAGAUCGCAAUCUAGACUCAAGUACCUAGAUUUGAAGUGUUUUGAAUUUACGUUUUAUUUGGAAAACAAAUAAUUUGAAUUUUAUUUGGAUUAAUUUGAUAAAUUUUUUUGCGGGGUUCGGGGAAGGCCAGCUCAAUUGACAUAAUCUUAAACUGAAUCAUCCUUUUUUUUUUUAGUUUGAUUAUAUCGUUUUGGGUUUAUUAGAUUUUGAUAGCAUGAAGAGAAGUUGAAUCUUCUUCAUCAACAAAUUUAUGAUCCGAUCAGUAAUCAUUGAAGUAACAUUAGCCAAUCGGCGAAUAUCCAAAAUAUAAGUGAAUCAGUGAAAACUAAGUUCAAUCACAUACACAAAACCCCAAAGUUUAUAGGCCAUUAAUUUUGAUAGAGAAAAGUAAAACUAUACCUGGGAACCGUAAUUGUGUGCGGUUUGAGAGUCCAACGGUUGAGACAUGAGAACAGCAUGACCAGGCCAUUUCUCGUUAACCUUGUACAAAGUAGCGUAAUCCUCGGCGAUCACGAGAACUUUCUCUUGAUGUUUAUGUCUUGAAACACUAAUCAACCAGUUGUUGAGAAAAGGCAAGAGAGGAUAGCUAACAGUGCAUACGAUCACCGUCCCAUUCUUAGCGACAAACUUGGCAGCUUGAGCGACGGAAUAGUCGUGCCAUUUAGAGUGCAAAUAGUAAGAAGAACACAAAGAAGAAGAGCAUUUGUAUGGAAAGGGGAAUAUGGGAAAUCCUGCCCACGGUAAGAAUACACCGAGGAGAAGGAUGAAGAAGAGACCGAAGUGGCAGAGGAUAUAAAUCAUGGAGCGGUUUGAGAAUAGGCUUUGGAUUGAACGCUGUUGUUGCCGCCGUGCCAUUUUGUACGGAGAUGGAACAAAAUUGGAGAGCAAGCUUUUUUUUUUUGCUAGAAUCUAACGGGAUAUUAUGAUUAAUGGUGUUGUUAAUAUGUAGCGGCCGCUAUGGAAACACAUAUCCGAGUGUUAUUAGACUCGAUUUAAUGAAUUCUUUUUUUUACGUGAUUAAUUAUAUUCCACACAAUUACUUGGCGCAAGUAUGAACUUUGGGGUUUUAUUGGGGGUCUAAAAUAUGUUGUUGUGUAUACGUAUCUCUAAUAGCUGAAAACUUUUAAGAACAUAGCGUAUGCUGUUGAAUUAUCCAAACUUGCAUAUAUAUUAAAUACGAUUACUAAAAAUGACACCGAAAAGUAAAUUAAUUUCUAAAGUAAUAUAAAAAUUGUAGUCUUACUUAUUUUACCAAAGAAAAAAAAAUUGUCUUAUAUAUUCUUAGCUUACGUUACGUAUAUUGCAAACAUAUUUUGUCUGUUAUGUAAGCGUGAUCUCUUCGUUUUUGACACUAGGCUCUCGGACACCGUCCCACAAGUUAUUUGGGUGUUUAGAAAGUAGAUUUGUGGAGGCAUGCAUAUCGUAUACACUUUUCUAAAAAAUUGAUUUUCUGCUUAAAAAAUUAAAAGAAUUUGUUAUAGUUGAAAAAAACUUAACCAUGUGUUUUUAUGGUAUUUUAUAGUUAGUGUUAGUGGUUAAAAAGUUACUAUAUGUUUUAUAAAAAAAUGUUAUGAUGAUGAUGAAGGAGAUAAGUAAAGGUUCUCUGUUUCUUUUUUCUCUUGCUUUCCUAUGUUUCUUUUAUAACUUUAACACUAGAUUACAAAACUCAGGUCACAUUGUACUAGCUAUAUAAUAACACUCAAACAUAACUUUAAGUACGAACAAUCUUUCUUCACGCAUUUGAAUUUUCUUGUAAUUUUUCUAGUUGGCAGUUAAGAGCAUGAUCUUUGACUAGCCAUACACCAAUGUACUUAUUGUGGAUUAGGAUAUGUUUUUCCUUUGUCACUUUAGCCCAUCUCAUGUUCCAGAAGUACAAUCCUCCUGAUGGGAAAUCUGUUUGGGGAAGCAAGUAUACAUCUACAUGCAUAAUAGAAGAUUGCAAAAGAGCUGAGAAUUAGUAUGAACAAGUGAAAACUACCUUUGAGAUUGAAAACACUCUUAAGUAGAUAAGAGGACUAUGAGUAGAUAAAGUUAGAAUCUCAAAUUAAUACAAAAUUUUAGUUUAAUUAUUAAUGUGUUAUCAUUCUAUUGAGAUGAUGGCUUUUCUCGGUUUAUCUUGAACAAAACCGCACUUUAAGACAAUAAUAAUUCUUACCCAGACCAGCCGAUUUGAGUUAACAAACUGAGUUACGAUACCAUGUACUUAACUCAAAUCUGAGACAAAAAUGGUUAUUGUAGAUUCCUAUGUAUAGACUAAUGAAGUUCUGAGAAUAGGUAGUUUAUAAAAAAAAGAAUAUAAUGUUAUUAGGAAUCGGAUCCCCAACCUGACAUUCAUAAACAGAUUAAAGCAAAACAAAAAAUAAUAAUUACACACACUGUAUCAACAUUCAGUUUAUGCCGCUAUAGAUUUCAUUAUGAUAUGAUGAAAGGAAUCCAAGAAUCAUAACUUUUAUUUUGUUUUCGUUUUCUAUCUCACUAGAAGUCUACAACAAUAAGAAAAAAAUGACAAAUUAUAUAAGAGGACUAACCCAUCGGACUCAGGAGUAGAAAGUCACACCCAAGCUAGAAAACACCAAGGCUUGUUCCAAUAAUUUGUUCACAGAAGACAGUUUUAAGGAGAUGGACCAAUGGCUCAAUAUUGAAGCGCAGAAUAAUUUGUGCGAGUUUAGUCAAUUUGUCGUCACACGUAUUCAUAUAUAUUCAACAUAAUUUAACAAUUGAAUGGUGUCUUUAAUUGUGUAUUUAGUUCAAUGUUGAGUAUUACUGUAAUAACAAUUGAAUUGAGUCCUUGAAUGAAUAUUCAUUAUUCAAUAUGGAGUUAUACUAAAAAAAAAAUAAUUGAAUUUUAAAUGGGUAACUUAGGAAUCAUAUAUUUUAUUAUGCAUUUAAUUAUUUUAUAUUAUAUUUUUUUGUUAAUGUUUAUUUUAAUUAAUGGUUUUAAUAGAAGAAUAUGUAAUUGGGUUUUAGUUAUAUAUUAUAUGUACAUUUUGUAUUAACAUCAAUUUUUAUAUCUCAAUAUAUAUACUAAUCAUUUUUUAAUUGGAACAUAAAAAUAAAUCUUAUUGAAAAAAUAUAUAUUACAAUUGCAAUGAUCGAAGAGAAAGAUAAUGCCAAAAAGACGAAUCUUAUAUAUAAAACUUGGCCAACUCUCUCCAGUUGAGUGACACAUCAGCGCUGGAGAGUGACACAUCUUCAAAUUUAAUAAAAUAAUUAAUUAAUUAUAUUUAAAGCAAACACAUUAAAACAUAUUAAAACAUAUUAAAACACAUUAAAACACAUUAAAAACAUAAAUAAAUAUUAAUAUAUAUUUAUAUUAGAAUAAAAUUCAAAUUUAAUUUAACUAUAUACAAACUUAUAAAUAUUAUAUAAUACAAGACGUUUUUAAUGUACAAUUUUAUUUUCUUUUUAAAUGUUUUAAACUUCAUUUAUAAAUUAAAAAUAUAAUUAAAUUUUAAUGCAAGUGAAAAAAAAUUAUGAAACUAAAUAAGUUAAAAAAUUUCAAAUCAUCUUAUAUAAAAAUUCAACUAAUAAAACUGUAAAACACAAAUCAUAUUAAAUAAACUAUUAAAAAGAUAAAAAUUAUUAAAAAUAAUAGUAAAAAGAAAGAUAUCCACAUAAAAAUGUCAUUUAUGGUUUUUUUUAAAUAAUAAAAAAAUAAAAUCAAUAAAAUAUAUAUAACCAAAAAAAAUCAAAUAUUAAAUUAAAAAAAAUAAUAAAUAUUAUAUUAGUACGAUUUACAAGAAUAAAAAGAAUAUAAAGAUCAAAGAAAAAAUGAAACUAUUUAAUACAACUGGUGUAAAGGAGAUUACAUAUAUUAUAUCAUCAAGAAGAAAUUAAAAAAAAAAAAAUAUUUUAGACAAAAAUACAUUAAUAAUAAACUUAAAGUUCAAUACAAAUUAUUUAAAAUAUAAAUUCAAACAAGAUCCGCGCAUACGCGUGGAUUCUCUCCUAGUACCAUUAAUAAUCACUUGGUAUGGGGUGUUUUGAGAGUUAAUUGUCUUGUUAAGGGACACAGAAUCCGAGAGCACAUGGAUUUUCCUAAUCCCUCUAUUCACCAGUUGAUAAAAGGCUUUACAAAUGGCCUAAACUUCUACAGCCAACACCGAACGUACACGGUACAUUACAGCGAACACUCCAUAACUGGAUUUCCUGAUCAACCACAAUAGAUGAGUCGUACAUUUAUGGAGGAGAGCUUGAGUUACCUACCAUUCCUUCGCUCCAGUCACAGAUUUUGCCACUACUACAAAUUGGAACCCAGAGAAACUUCUGACCAUCUGUCAGAGAAAUGAAUGUAGCAGCAUGUAGUAAGCAUUAUAAUAGCAUAUCUUGAUUAAGUUUCUAUAUUUUCAGUGAAGGUUUUAUGCUUUGAUUUGCUUAUCUAUUUUAGUUUGUGGAUUCAUCCUAAACCACAAGUGUAAAUCAUUUUUAGAUUAUUGUGUGAGAUCCUUUCACUGUCUUGUUUCUGUGAAAUAAUAACUUCCGUGAUUCCAGUUGUUCUUUCAUGUGUUAAUUAAUUUGUGUGAUUCUAAUUUACCUUUUCGGAAAAUAUCUUUGUCAAAGCAUAUCUCAAGAAAGUUAUUAAAUUAAUGACACCUUGAUUGAUUUAAUUAACUUUGUUAUUUUUCAUUUCAUUAAGAUUUGAUUAUUUUAAUUUAUUUGUAUAUCUUGUGAGUUCUCUAAGACUCAUUUAUUUUGUAAAUCCAAAAAAGAAUGAAACUGAAUAAAAAUUAAAGUGUUGUGAAAAACAACUUCGAUAAAGCGCUGGUAUAUAUGUAAACAUUAGAGAAGAGAGAUUUAGAGAGAGAGUUAGACAAUGAAGAAUAAAACUAUUAAGAUCUCUUCUUAUUUCUCUUACCAUAUUGUCUUCUUGGAGAUAACGUUUUAGAAAUUUGGGGACAAAAUAGUCCAAGGAAGAUGAAUCUCUAAGGGGGAUGAAUACUUAAUAGCUAAGAAGUUUGGGAAGAGAACUAUAUUUCCAAAUGUAUAAUCAAUAUAUUUUAUAACACUCUCCAUUGAUUAUCCAUUUCCAUUGAUAUGGUGCGUACUGCCUCAUUAAAAACUUUAUCAUGGAAAAACCCAUUUUAGGACAAAAAUCAUGACAAGUGAAAAAGAAUGCAGUAAAACUUUUCCUGGAAAAGACAUAUAUUCUUUUCUUCCUAAGUCUCGUAGAUGACACAUUCCAAUGAUGUAAAUAUGUUUUCUGAAUAUUGCAGUAGGAAGCGCUUUUGUAAAGAGUCUGCUGCAUUGUUGCUUGAACAAAUGUAUUGGACAUCGAUCUCCUCGUUUUUCUCGAGUUCUUGAGUAUAUGAAAGAAAUCUUGGAGGAAUAUGUUUUGUCAUGUCGCUCUUGAUAUAACCUUCUUUAAUUUGGGCGACACAAGCAGCAUUGUCUUUAAAUAUUUUUGUGGACUCUUUAUCUUUGAUUAUUCUGCUUGAUUCUUGUAUGUGUUGAGUCAUUUAUCUAAGCCACAAACACACUCUGCAUGCUUCGUGAAGCGCAAUAAUCUCCGCAUAAUUUGAAGAAGUGGCGACCAUAAUCUGUUUUUGAGAAUGUUACAAGAUCGCCGUUCCACCAAUUGUGAAAAUAUAUCCUGUUUGUGAUCGCGCUUUGUGCGGAUCUGACAAGUAUCCUGCAUCUGCAAAACCAACUAAACCAACCUUGGAGUUUCUUGAAUAAAAUAGGCUUAAGUCAACCAUACCUUGUAGAUAAUGGAAGAUGUGCUUUAUUCCAUUCCAAUGUUUACGCGUAGGGGAUGCACUGUAUCUUACAAGUAGGUUGGUAGCAAAUGCUAUAUCUGGUCGAGUACAAUUUGCAAGGUACAUUAAUCCGCUAAUAGCGCUCAUAUAAGGUACCUUGGGACCUAAUAUUUCUUCGUUAUCUUCACAACGUGGAAUUGGAUCCUUGUCAACAUCAAGCGAUCUAUUGACCAUUGAAGUAUUCAAAGGAGUCACUUUAUCCAUAUUAAAGCGCUUUAACACCUUUUUGGUGUAAUUUGAUUGAUGUACGAAUAUUCCAUCUUGGAAAUGAUCUAUCUAGAGCCCUAGACAAAGUUUUUUUUUUGUUUUCAAGAUCUUUCAUUUCGAACUCUUCUGUCAUAUGAGUUCUUGCAUCAUCAAUCUCUUUUUGAGUUCCAAGUAUGUUCAUGUCAUCAACAUAUAGAACAAUGAUCACAAAUCCUGAUGCGGAUUUCUUAAUAAAUACACAAGGGCAUGUCACGUUGUUGAUGUAUCCUUUACUCAACAAGAAUUCACUUAAACGAUUAUACAACAUGCGUUCGGACUGUUUUAGUCCGUAAAGUGAUCGCUGUAAUUUGACCAAACAUAUUUCCUUAGAUGCUUCUGGCAUCUUUGAUCCUUCAGGGAUCUUUAAUCCUUCUGGAAUUUUCAUGUAUAUGUCACUAUCAAGUGAACCAUAUAGGUAUGCAGUCACCACUUCUAAACUUUUAGAAGCCCUUAAGCUCAUUAAGUACCUGAAUGUGACUGCAUCCAUAAUCAGAAUAUGUCUCUUCAUAAUCAAUUCCUGGUAUUUGAGAAAAACCUUAUGCAACGAGUCGGGCCUUAUACCUUGUGAUCUUGAUUUUCUCAUUUUUCUUUCUCACAAAGACCCAUUUGCACCCAACUGUCAUUGUAUCUUCAGAUAUAAUGACUAUAGACAUUUUUUUCUUCAGGGAGAAUUAUUCAUUUCUCAUGGCAUCUUGCCAUUUCUUCUAGUCAGGCCAUUUCUGGCACUUUUUACAUGUACCUUGGAUAUGGAUCAUCUUCAUGAUCUAUUUCCCUGGAUACUGAAAAAGAGAACAUUUCAUUUGUAUCAUCUGUCUCGCUUCUAGCCCAUAACGUCCAACUUUGGGUGAAGCUGAUGGAAAUCUCAUAUUUUUUUAGUAUAGGGUUCGUCUUCUUGAUAAACCUCUUUAUCUGGUUCUUCUGGAACUUUUUCACAAAUAUCUUCUGGACAUUUUUCUUUAUUUGGUUCUUCAAGAACCUUAUCUCCCAUUUUUUGUUUCUUUCAAUAUACUUCGAGCCCAUCGGCCUCCCGCACUUUAAUUGAACCCAUGUUUCAUUUGCUCUAUUCACAUCAAUAAGUUCUUCCCGAAUAUUUAUCUUUGAUGGAGCAUUAGCAGCAGGGAUAUAAGACUUCAUCACCCUUUUCGUAUCUGUAAACGCAUCAGGUAACUGGUUUACCAAAGUUUGUAAAUGUAUUAUUUUCUGAACUUCCAUCUCACGUUGAUAGGUAGGAGGAUCAAGAUAAGCCAACGUUUCCGUACAUUUUUGUGUUAUCUUUUGGUGAUUCUCUAGAUCUUCCCCCCCCCCCAACGCAGGCAAUUCACUUUCAUCAAAGUGGCAAUCAGCAAAACGUGCCGUCAACAUAUUUCCAGUUACCGGUUCAAGAUAUUACCUCUGGAAUAAUUCCCAUUAAUAAUUCUACUCUGAUAACUCUUCAGGAAUUUUGAUGAUCAUCAUUCUUUAGUUCGAUUGAGUAGUGUUCUCGGGCACUUAUUUAUGACAUUAUUAAUCUUUAAGGGAUUACUUCCUCUAGAGGCUAGUUCCACUUUUUCUCGUAAUGACAUGGUUAAUCGAGAUCUCUUUAUCAUCAAUUUCAUUCAGGUACCUGAUUUUAUCAUUACUCAUGUCAUUCAAUCUCUGUAGAGAUUAAUCCUCUUUCACUCCUUUUCUUUUGAGGAUUUUAUAUUUGGAACCAGAGUUGUCUAUCACAUUUUUUACGUGCCAUAGACUCAUAAAGAUUGUCCUUCAGUGACAUCUAUUUUAAGUGGAGCUCAGCUGGAAUACGAGAUUGCUUUUCACUCAAUAUGAACUUCAGGUUCAUGAGGAUCCAUAAUAAUUCAUUUCAUGAAAUCUCUCCAUCAGCUGUUUAUUGCAUUUUUUUUAUGCCACACAUGGAGAUCACCAUAAUUGGUUUUGCAGUCCUUUGGAUUUUCUUUAUAUUAAGCUCAUUUUGAGUGCAAACAUAAUCUUCUGGAUGUUCAACAUACUCUCGAUGUGGGAUUCUUUAAUUCUCCCCCUCGAGAUGACAACACAUAUAAUCCAUCUAUCUUAAAUUGAAUUCCACUCUUAGAACAACAAUAUAUCCAAUGAGCAUUAAACCAAAAAAGGGUGAUCCAUCCUUGGAUACUUUUCAUGGUGAUUUCAUUUUUUCUUUAUGACAUGCAAUAGUUGAAAAAGCUUCUGGUUUUCCAACAUAUACUCUCCAUGAUCUUACAUAUCAUUGGGAGUACCAGAAUGGCUUUAACCGGUUUUAUUCAAUUAGUAAACUUCAGGUUUACAAUUAUAUAUACUUUUGCAAUCUUUCAUUUUGCAUGUCUCCAUCGUGUGCUAUUUCUAGAGCAUUUAGUUCUUCAAGAACUUUUAGCUUUUCAGAAGCUUCUAGCUCUUCCGGGGCUUCUACCUCUUAUGGGGUUUCUAGCUCUUCUAGAGGCUUUUAACUCAUGAAUAUUCUAGGGCUUCCAUCUCAUACAGGAUUUCUAGUUCUUCUAGAGCUUCUAGCUCUUCCGAAACUUCUAGCUCUUCCGAAACUUCUAGCUCUAACAAAGCUUCUAGCUCUAACGGAGCUUAUAGCUCUUACGGAGCUUCUAGUUGAUAUAUUCAUAAAUUGCAUCAUUUAAUGUACAUAUUCUAGUUCAAAUCAUGUCUCAUUUGCAUGCAUUUUAGGUCUUUAGGCAUUGUUUUAGGACUUAGGAGAUUGCAUUAGGUCCAAGAGAGUUUUGCAUGUUUUGGAGUGUUAAACAGGUGCUUUUGGAGUUUAUUUGGAGUGGAGGAUGUGAUUCAGAUGAAGAAAUGGAGUUGAACUUAUCAAAAAUGGUAAAAAGGAGAAAUUUUGGGUUUCUCGGCAAAAUGAUGUACUGAUGGCCGAAGAUUCUCGGCCAAAAUCCCUCCCGCGGGUAGCUUUCUCGGCCAAAAACACGUACCGCGGUCAAGUCUCUCGGCCAAAAAUCCCGGGUGCAGAUACAUUUCCAAAAUCGCGUCACCGGAAGCUCUUGCCGGCCGAUUCAGCUUACAGGGUCUUCAUCAAAGUUGGAGAUAAUUGAGUUAAGAACCCAGCACAGGUUUAAUAAAGGCAUUCGGAGCACGGAGCUGAAUGAUACGGUCACCGGAAGACAUACCUCUCUUGCAUCCAUUCCGGAGCAAUCCGAUACUCCUGAAUGAUCGCCUGUCCGGGGAACCUUCCGGUCCGAUUCAGUUGUCAGAGGCUUCAUCAAAUUUGGAGAGGAUUGGAUCACGGUUCCAGAGCAAGUAGAAUCAUGGAAUUCGGACACGUGAGCAGAGAGUUAAGCUCGUCGGAAGGAACUCCUGUCUCGCUGCCGUUUCGGACCGACCCGAUGAGCUCCGAAGAAUGCGAAGGACGGUGCACGUACAGACCGAUUCAGUUUACAGAGCCUUCAUGAGAAUCAGAGAUAUUUGAGUCCUCUUUACAGAACGUCUGAGAUCAUUUAAUUCGGAGCUAUGAGCAAGAAGUUAACGUUUCCGGAAUGGACACAUGUCUAGACGCCUCUCUCUGAUCGUGUAAAUUCACUGCGAAGAUGAGCCCUCCAGGAAACCUUCCACUUCCCAAGCACCGAAGCUUUCUUCACCAAAGUUGGAGAUAUACGAGUCUUCUGUCCUCUGAAACCGGAAUCACACAAUUCGGACCAGUAUCCUGGAAGUUACGCCUCCCGGAUUGCGAAGUGGUCCAAGCUGCUCUGAAUGCUGCGAGAUAGUCUUGCGACUUGGUUAACUCGCAGGCCUGAAGGUGAAUGCCUGGAAAUUGAUGCUGCGAGUUGAGAAGUGCGGGUAAGCUAUCACUGGAUAAGGUCUGAGGCUCCCGAGCAAGAAAAAUGCUAAGUCCACAAUCAUGCGACUUAGGCAUGCGAGUUGGCCGCGUUUGAAACUAAGCCGCACGAUCACUCGCAAUCUACUCCGAAUUGGGCAUGCGGCUUGGGACUAAGGGAUGACCAAGCCGCACAUGUACAUUCCCCAGAAACCGCCUUGGUCCUGCAAGUUGAAGAAGAAGAAGAUUAAGCCGCACAAAGACUCGCAAAACACACCUACUUGGGCGUGCGGCUAAAACCAAGCAAUUUAAGUCUCACAAGACAAGUUCUUCACCUGUGCGACUUGGGCAUGCGACCUGGGAGACACUGGACCAAUCCGCACAUUCCCCACUUUACCCACUAAAGCCAGGUCAGGACCCGGUUUGUUCUGGGCUGACCCGGUUCAUUAGCACUUAUUAUAUAUAGCUUUUUGGAGAAAAACCCUAGACAUCUUAUCUUCUACUUAGUUUUCUCUCUAGUUUUAUUUCCUUUUUAGUGUAAAAACGUUUUUGAUUAAGAGAGAUCUGAAGGGAUUUGAUCAUUCCAAAGCUGUUUCUUAUCAUCACAUCAUCUCAUUUCUACUUCUAAUCAUGAUUAACAUCAUCUCUUGCAAAAGAUUAGAUGUGUUCUUCAUGAUUAGUGAGUAGUCAUCUUUUUAAACUUCUAGGUGUGUAGAUUAGGGUGCUUAGAUGUUUGAUUUGUGAUGUUUAGGGUUUAGAUUCUCAUUUAAUUUCCUUAGUUAGCUGCUCCUAAUGCCAGAUUUCCUUGCGAAAGUGAAAUCUGGGUUCAUAGGCAUUUCAUGCACCAAAAGUGUUUGAUGAAAUGCCUGAAAGAGCUAACUUAAGGGUUUGUGUUUUAAAUGCCAUGGGAAUGUUUGUUUGAAGCAUAAAUGACAUAUUAGAACUGUUUCUUAAUGCUCAUUAGUUCAUAUUUCACAAAUGAGAAUUUGGUUUGAAAGUGGAUUAGUGUAGAAAUUAAUGCCUUCAUGAGAGGAUUAGUCUAGAUUAGAGUUCUAAGUUGAAAUGUUUGAGAUCAUGUGAUUGCUUGUUAUGUCUUUCUGUAUAAGAUUCAGUCUUCUUGGUUGAGAGAUUGUUUGGUCACUUAUUAGGCUUGAUGCAUUAUGCUUGUUGAUUGCUUGAUUAUAUAUAAUGGUUGUUAGACUUGAUUAAGUGAUUAGCAAAUGGAUUAUUGUCAUGGGAAUGAAUUAAUCUGAUUAAGAAGCCUAGACUAAAGAGUAGCAAGUGUUGCAUUAUGUUCUUAGCAUCAUGAAUCAAUAUCUAAAGCACCCUAAUCAAUGAUCACAUCUAGAGGUUUAUCUUUCAUCAUUUGCUUUAUCAUCAUUUUGUUUGCUUGCUUGUUUAGUAGUUCAUUAAUCAUUUCUUGUUUGUUUCUUGUUUAUGCUUUCUUGUUGCUGGUUUCACCAAACUCAUCUUUUAUUCAGCUUGACUUAAGAACUUGUCACAUAAACUAGUGCCUAACUACCACACAUAUGGAUUGACACCCCUUAUACUACUUUGAUAAGGGGAUUGAUAACCCUUAUUAAGGCCUUGAAAACCUUAGUUAUCACUAGCUCUUAUGAAGCUUUUAAUUUAUGAAGCUUUUAAUUUAUGAAGCUUCCAGAGCUUCUAACUCUUUCGGAGCUUUCAACUUUUCCGGAGUUCCAACCUUUUUCGGAGCUCCUAGCUCCUCCAAGGCUUUUAGCUCUCUAAGAGCUUUUGACGCUUCCAGAGCUUUUUAACUCUUCUGGAUUUUCUAGCUCUAACGGAGCUCUUAAUUACUUUAGAAAUGUCUAUUAGUAUAUUAACAUACCUGGUAUAGCUUCCAUAGGUUUUGAAGACGCAGAGCCUACUAUAAAAAUGAGGAGGAAGCAUAACCUUCCACUCCGCAAAUAUAGACAAAGAGGAGAUUUAACCUUCUACUCCAUAAAUAUGAACAAGGAGGAAGUUUAACCUUCCACUUCGUAAGUAUAGACAAGGAGGAUGCUUAAUCUUUUACUCCAUAAUAUGAACAAGGAGGAAGCUUAACUUUCCACUCAUAUAUAGAGACAAGGAGGAGGUUUAAUCUUCCAUCCAUAAAUAUGAACAAGGAGGAAGCUUAACUUUUCACUCCAUAAAUAUAGACAAGGAGGAGGUUUAACCUUCCACUCCAUAAAUAUGAACAAAGAGGAAUCUUAACUUUCCACUCAAUAAAUAUAGAUAAAAAGGAGGCUUAAUCUCCUUGAUAACACCGUAUUUUGACCACUUUUAUGGAUCGUUUUGAAAUACUUUUUCUAUGUUUUGAAUUGCUUUCAAGUACUUUUAUUACGUUUUUCUAGUAUUUGUAGUUCCAAGACUCUUUUCAGGUAACUUAGGGAAAAACUUAAAAAAAUGGAUAGAAAACCAGAUUUCAGCUCAGAGUCAAACUGUUAGAAGUUCACCCCCGAUUGAAGGCCUUUUCGCCGUCUGAUCCAGCUCAAAUUUGGAGAUCUUAAAGAUUGAAGUAUCAGAUUUCCAGCACACUUUAAAGCUUGGCAAUCCAACGGUUCAAUCAAAAGAUACGCGAAGAGCAAGAUGUCCCGUAAACCAGCCGGCAAGCGUUUCCACCCCCGGCCAACAGAGCAUUUCCCGCGGUCAGAAGCACCGCGACCGCGGUCAGCCACCCAUUUCCUGCGGUCACACUCAUCCCAACCGUGGCCAGCUAACUCCGACCCCGAAGGCCCAUUUACGAAGCCCAUAUCAUUUUCCCAGCCUUGAUUCCGGAACCCUAGACCCUAGAGAUGUCUUGAGCACUAAAAAUACAUGUUUUACGAACCCUAAUUGAUAGGCCCCUCAUAUGUUCUUAUUGUUUUAGAAUACUUUUUAAGUUUUAGGUUUUAGGGAGAGAGAGAUUUGUCUCUUGAACCCUUUUUUUUUUAUUUUUCAAUUUCGGUUUCUAUUCUACUUUUUAAUACUAUGUUUUUGAUUUCGUUCAUCAUGUCUGAGUAGUUUUAUUGUUGGGAUUAAGAGAUUUUCGAUGGGGAUUUAUAUGUUCGGUGAGGAUUCCAUGAGCUUUUGAGCCGAAUCUUAGAACUUUUUCUUCUGAAUUCGUUUUUACUGCAUGAGAGUAGCGUCAUGAACUGCAAUCUGAUCCAGAUGCUUGGUGACACAAAAGUGUUCAUCCAGUGUCAGAUCUAGUUUGGGAGAGCAAAACAAACAUAGGAGUGGAAACCUACCUAUGGGCAAUUUGUGAAUGCUGACGAGUCUUAAACAUUCUGCAUCUCUUCUUUUCCAGGGCCAGAGUGGAAACCUACUGGUCAGGGUUGAAAGAGAUAAUUGUCUAUGAUCACGACAGUGGCGUAUUCAUACGUCCGUGACUCCAGUUCGAAAAGUUUAAGCUAAGAUCUUAUCAAAUUUACUCUCUAGCAAUGUUUUGAAUGUUGUACCCCUGAGAAAACUUCCCUGAACCCCAGCGCCUCUUUUCUUAUAGAUUUACACCGUUUUAUUUCAAGCUUUAGUUUACUAUUUUCAUUCCCUUUCAAUCGAUUUUCAUUUAAGCAAUUAGGUUAGCCGUUUUUCUCAUUUUUACUCGUUUUCGAUAAGUUUAGUUAUUAUGUCAUUUUAAUUCCCGUAUUUUCUCUUUAAGAUUUGUUUUUUCAUUUUAAACACACCACCAAAACCCCCACAAAACCGUUUGGUUCUAGACUUCCUUACUUUAUAUUUCUUUCGAAGGCUUUUGCAGGAAAGAUCCUCCUUCCAUGUGGAUUCGAUCCCUAAGUACUACAAUCGAUCAGCUGUGCACUUGCGGCUAUUGAUUUCAUUUAGGGUAAAACUUGACAACCCUCAACAUGACAGCACACAUCAAGUUUUUGGCACCGUUGCCGGGGAAGGCACGCGUUUUCUUUUCCGCAAAACCCCAAGCAAAGUUGGUAAAUCGACUCUAGAACCCCUUUUUCUGCAUAUUUCCAUUUUUCGGUUAUUUGGUUUCCAUUUCAGAAGAUAUGGAUCCUAUAAAUCGAAAUACACACUAUGAGGAAGGUUUCUAUAACACUCCUCAAGCCACUAGACGCAGAGAGAAGCAAUACUUACGCGAUCUCUACGGAGAAAUUCAAACCGAAGACUACAGAACGUUCCAGAACGAGCCCUACGUACCUCCAAUGGCUAACCCUAGACAUCCUGCUCGUCGUCUGCCUCACCAAGAUGAAAAUGUCCAACUCAUUCACCGAUUGAGUUGACUAGAGAUGGUGGUCAUGCACUUAAUCGCCGCUCAAGCAACAUCAAGAGCUGCCCUUCGCGAGAAAAUUGACAACAUGUCAACUCACUUUAACAAAAAGCUUGAAGAUCUUUCUGCUCAAGUCAAAACCAUCGAGACUCAAGCAAACAAGGAUGCUGAAACCAUCAAGGAGAGAAUGGAAGCAGUUGAAGGACGAGUUGGAGAGAACGAAGUUAGCAUUCGCAAGGCUAGUGGAAACAUCUGCACCUUAGAGGUCAAGCUUGAUGAAUCCGAAGAAACUAUUAACGACCAUAACAACUAAACCUACUCCUACGUGGAAGAGAUUUGGGAUGGAGUACACAAGGUUCAAGACAAGGCAGAGGAAAUCGACUCAACCCUGGACAAAGUAGUCUAUGCUCUUGAUGAAGUCGAAGAGAAGGUCGAAAAGCUUAUGCAAGGAUGUGAAACGAAUGGUUCGACGCUUCCCAUCAAAGAUCUUAACCUAAAAGAAGAGGAAACAGAGUUAGAAGAUCCAGAAAUCAGUUUAGAUAGCAAAGGAGAAGAUGAAACAGAGGAAACAACUCGGAGUCUCUCUCCUGCGGUCGGAACUCUCGCGACCGCGGCCAACAACCCUCCAGCCGCGGUCGUGAGCCUCUUACCCGCGGAAAAACACCCUCCACCGCGGUCGUGCAGCCUCCGCUCGCGGCAAAUGGUCGGUCAGAUACGUUUCAGCCCCUUUCCAUUCUUACAGGUCAAUGUUCAUUUGAUACAUCUGCUGGGACGGUCAAAACCCCUCUUCAUGAGCAAACGGUGUAUGCUAUCAGCUCUAAAACAUCUCAAGAAGAAAAUGAGGUACUUCCUUGCAACAUAGUUUUAGCAUAUGAUGAUGAAUAUGAAUGGCAGUACCUCGAAGAUGAAGACGAUCGUCUAUUCAUAGAAGGAGGCAAUCCAGACAAAAUGGUGGAAUUAGGAGCACCAAUCUCCAGAGAAAGGCUCAUUGAAUUCAACAAGUUUGUGAAAUCGAUCCCUCUUUACACAGGUUUCGAUGAUAUAUGGCAUCUUGGUUGUUUGCAAGUUUUCUUUAUGUACAGCAAGGAGACAAAGGAGGAUAUCCAAACCUAUUUUGGGAGGGCCAAACGUCUGACUUUUCCCAGAACAUCACCUGAUUCUGCAAUCUAUUCAAUCCACCUUCAAAGACCUGAAGACUGCAGCCACUACACCAACAAAAUCAGCAAAGAAAAGCUGGACGAAUUCAAUGAUGUGGUUCGAAAUUUGCCUGAAGGAAUCACCUUUGCCGGAGCUUGCAAGGACUUCAUGAUAGGCCACUACUUCUGUGAGAGCAAGGAAUCAAUCCCUGAGAUAAAAGACUUGUUCAACCAUGCAAGAAGAGGUAAACCUGUUCGAACACUUCACAAAAUCGAAGGUGUAGGUCAGUUUCUUAUCUCUUGUUCUAUUAGAGGAGAAAUGUUUAAAAACGUGCUUUGUGAUUCUGGAGCUUGUCUUAACAUGAUGUCCAAGGCAAUUGCUUUGAGACUUGGUAUUAAACACCUGCGCAGGACUAGAGCAAAGAUUAGUCUAGCUGAUGAUUCCAAUGCAACACCUCAAGGAAUAGCUCAUGAAAUUCCUUUGAGAAUAGGAGAUUGCAUAGUGCCUGUCGACUUCUACAUCGUCGAGACGAGAGAUGCAACAUAUCCAGUGAUUCUCGGAUGGUCUUUUCUACCAACUUCCGGAGCUAUAAUGGACUGGCCAAACAGGAGGAUUUCAUUUGCUAAUAUCGACAAAGAUGUCUUCACAGAAGCUGUCCCAUACAACAGCAAAGAAGGAAAACGUUCUGCAACAGAAGAGUUUGAAGAAGAGCUUUGGAGUGACGAAGAACCUGCUAGGCAAAGCAAUGAGAUGUCGAAAAAGACUUGUCUCAGGACAAGGUCUUCUUCAUUGGACUAAGCCACGUCCAACACCAAAAGUCGAGCUAAAUGACUUAAAAAUGAAGCGCUUAAUGGGAGGCAACCCAUUUAGGUAUUGUUUUCUUUAGGAUUUUUCUUUCUUUUUCUAUUGAUCUUUUUCUUUUUCUUAGUUUCAGGUGUUUCUUAUAAAACAAAAAAAAAACCAAAAAAAUCAAAAAACCUGAAAAAACGAAAAAGAAGGAUGGUCCCUGACUGCUCGGCCUAGCAGGAACCAAGGAGAAGCAGGAAGAGGCCGCGAGAUAAGCCCCCGCGGUCACAGGUGUUAUGACCGCGGGAAACACCCCUUCAACCGCGGUCGUGUCUUUCUGACCGCGGCCGAGCACUGGUUUGCCGCAGUCGCGUGGCUCCUGACCGCGGCAAAUGGUUGUUGAGAUCAAGCCCGACCCCAAACCACCCACUUCACCUCAUUCCACCUCACCAAUCCCCACUCCACCUCAUUCAUCACUUUCCACCACCUUCAUCACCACCUAUCACCUUCCCAAACCUCUUCGAAUGAAUCUGGUUCAUCUCCACCAGCAUCCCGGAUCCAGGUAAGUUCUCUUUGGCAUUACCAAUUCGAUUAUCUAUGCAUUUUUCUCAUCCAAUCUCGACUUGUUUCACACUGAGGACAGUGUGAUUUAAGUAUGGGGGAGGAUUUCAUCCCUUUCUAACCACUUUUCUUUCAUGAGUCUUGCAUUAUCUACACUUUUUGCAUUUUUCUUAAAGUUUUUCAAAAUCGGUUUUCAAAACAAAAUACGUUUUUAAAGGGAAUGGUGAACAUGAAUCAAUGAUAGUUGACUGUGUGCUUUUAGAUUGUUCCUAGUGACAUGCUAAUUCAUGAUUUAGGACUAGACUAGGCGGUAGCUAAGCACAUUUGAAACGAAGUACCCCAGAUGAAUUUGAAUGAUUUCGAUUUAGAUGAAGGGAUACACUAGCUCUGUUUUAUUUGGACUUAAUUUGGACUUAACUUUCUCAUUGAAGCAUUAGACCAGGGAAACGAAUCAUACAUUCAGGACUCCUUUAUCCUUUUACCACUCUCUGUUGAUCCUGAAUGGCUAGUUCAUCUUUAGCUAGUUCCCCACCUUAACCAAUCCUCUUUCAAACCACAUGCACUCGUUUUUUGUAUUGUCCUAUAUGCAGAUAAGUGCAAAAACGUUGGAGAGAAAGAGGAACGACGCAGUUUUCAGUCAUCAAGGACAGAGAUCUGCGAUUUGCCGGAAAAGUUCCCAGAAGGAUUCAACACAAGAGGAAGCUCAGUUUGCCUUAGAAAAAUCUCAAAUUUUGGUACAAUCUCGUCCUCUAGUCUCUCUCUCUUUAAAAGGCAUUUCUUUUUCAAAAAAAAAAAAAUCCGAAAAUAAGAAAAGAAGGAAAUAAAAGCCUUAGAGAGUCUAGAGAGGUCGAAUUUAAGUCCCAAGGCAACUGGAGUCUGAUUUUAUGGAGUUUUGGAGAUCAUUUUCUGAUUCCCGGAAAGAAUCUAAGUCUGUGGGAAUAACUGUUCACAACAAAGGAGGAAGGAUUAUGCAACAACAUUUGGCAAGAAGAAGUGACUGAAAAUUGCGGUCAUCAACAGAUCCUUAUCUCUCUUGCGGUUUUGCAUAUUAUCUUGCAUCCUCCAGAUUCAUCAGGUAACCCGAAACACUUUAACUCCACCAUUUAAACAGCCCUUUUAAUGUCAAACACCGUCUACCAUGAAUGAUGUCUUUAAUGAGAACUCACUAUUGAACUUAAUGAAUGUAGAGAGCGAGUUGACUGGAAUCAAGAUUUUGAUUGUUUAAGUUUUGCAUGACGGAAAAAGUGGACUAGUAUCUUUUGUGCAUUAGUGAAAAUUUUAUAGACUAAGUUUUGGAUUGAUGCACGAUCUUUGUUCCUAGUUUAGGAGUUCAUGUCUCUGAGAUUUGUGCAUUCCCUAUUUUUGUUUUAACUUAACCAGUUUAGGCUUUGCUUUGUUUGAGGACAAACAAAGGUUUAAGUCUGGGGGAGUUGAUAACACCGUAUUUUGACCACUUUUAUGGAUCGUUUUGAAAUACUUUUUCUAUGUUUUUCUAGUAUUUGUAGUUCCAAGACUCUUUUCAGGUAACUUAGGGAAAAGCUUAACAAAAUGGAUAGAAAACCUGAUUUCAGCUCAGAGUCAAACUGUCAGAAGUUCACCCCCGCUUGAAGGCCUUCUCACCGUCUGAUCCAGCUCAAAUUUGGAGAUCUUAAAGAUGGAAGUAUCAGCUUUCCAGCACACUUUACAUCUUGGCAAUCCAACGGUUCAAUCAAAAGAUACACGAAGAGCAAGAUGUCCCGUAAACCAGCCGGCAAGCGUUUCCACCCGCGGCCAACAGAGCGUUUCCCGCGGUCAGAAGCACCAUGACCGUGGCCAGCCACCCAUUUCCUGCGGUCACACUCAUCCCGAUCGCGGCCAGCUAACUCCGACCCCGAAGGCCCAUUUACGAAGCCCAUAUCAUUUUCCCAGCCUUGAUUCCGGAACCCUAGACCCUAGAGAUGUCUUGAGCACUAAAAAUACAUGUUUUACGAACCCUAAUUGAUAGGCCCUCAUAUGUUCUUAUUGUUUUAGAAUACAUUUUAAGUUUUAGGUUUUAGGGAGAGAGAGAUUUGUCUCUUGAACCCUUGUUCUUUCUUUUUCAAUUUCGGUUUCUAUUCUACUUUUUAAUACUAUGUUUUUGAUUUCGUUCAUCAUGUCUGAGUAUUUCUAUUGUUGGGACUAAGGGAUUUUCGAUGGGGAUUUAUAUGUUCGGUGAGGAUUCCAUGAGCUUUUGAGCCGAAUCUUAUAACUUUUUCUUCUGAAUUCGUUUUUACUGCAUGAGAGUAGCGUCAUGAACUACAAUCUGAUCCAGAUGCUUGGUGACACGAAAGUGUUCAUCCGGUGUCAGAUCUAGUUUGGGAGAGCAAAACAAACAUAGGAGUGGAAACCUACCUAAGGGCGAUUUGUGAAUGCUGAUGAGUCUUAAACAUAAUGCAUCUCUUCUUUUCCAGGGCCAGAGUGGAAACCUACUGGUCAGGGUUGAGAGAGAUAGUUGUCUAUGAUCACGACAGUGGCGUAUUCAUACGUCCGUGACUCCAGUUCGAAAAGUUUAAGCUAAGAUCUUAUCAAAUUUACUCUCUAGCAAUGUUUUGAAUCGUUCGUACAUCUGAGAAAACUUCCCUGAACCCAGUGCUUCUUUUCUUAUAGAUUCACACCGUUUUAUUUCAAGCUUUAAUUUACUAUUUUCAUUCCCUUUUGAUAACACCCUAUUUUGACCACUUUUAUGGAUCGUUUUAAAAUACUUUUAAAUGUCUUUAAUUGCUUUUAAGUACUUUUAUCACGUUUUUCUAGUAUUUGUAGUUCCAAGACUCUUUUCAGGUAACUUAGGUAAAAGCUUAACAAAAUGGAUAGAAAACCAGAUUUCAGCUCAGAAUCAAACCGUCAGAAGUUCACCCCUGAUUGAAGGCCUUCUCACCGUCUGAUCCAGCUCAAAUUUGGAGACCUUAAAGAUGGAAGUAUCAGCUUUCCAGUGCACUUUACAGCUUGGCAAUCCAACAGUUCAAUCAAAAGAUACGCGAAGAGCAAGAUGUCCCGUAAACCAGCUGGCCAGCACUUCCACACGCGGCCAACAAGCAUUUUCCCGCGGCCAGGAGCAUCCCGACCGCGGCAAACCAUACAUUCCCCGCGGUCAGAGCACUCCCGACCGCGGCCUUCAACCUCCAAGCCCAAAAAGCCCAUUUCUGAAGCCCACAUUUGGAGAAACCCUAAGUGACGUCCAGAGAGGUCUUGAGCAUUAUAAAUACAUGUCUUAGGAGCCUUAGAAAUCGUAUGUAACCUUAGAGAACCGAUUUAUCUACUUCAUACUUUCAUUGUUUUUGCUUUAGCUUUUAGGGAGAGAGAUUUGUUCUCUUGAACCCUUGUUCUUUCUUUUUCAAUUUCGGUUUCUAUUCUACUUCUUAAUAUUAUGUCUUUGAUUUCGUUCAUUAUGUCUGAGUAGUUUUAUUGUUGGGAUUAAGGGAGUUUCGAUUGGGAUUUAUAUGUUCGAUGAGGAUUCCAUUGGCUAUUGAGCUGAAUCUUAGAACUUUUUCUUCUGAAUUCGUUUUUACUGCAUGAGAGUAGCGUCAUGAACUACAAUCUGAUCCAGAUGCUUGGUGACACGAAAGUGUUCAUCAGGUAUCAGAUCUAGUUUGGGAGAGCAAAACAAACAUAGGAGUGGAAACCUACCUAUGGGCGAUUUGUGAAUUAGGACGAGUCUUAAACAUAAUGCAUCUCUUCUCUUCCAGGGCCAGAGUGGAAACCUACUGGUCAGGGUUGAGAGAGAUAGUUGUCUAUGAUCACGACAGUGGCGUAUUCAUACGUCCGUGACUCCAGUUCGAAAAGUUUAAGCUAAGAUCUUACAAAAUUUUCUCUCUAGCAAUGUUUUGAAUCGUUCGUACCCCUGAGAAAACUUCCCUGAAGCCCAACGCUUUCUUCUCCAUUGUUAUACACCGAUUUUCUUUAAAGCUUUAGUUCAAUAUUGUCUUUCCUUUUUAGUUUAUUUUCAUUUAAGCAUUAGAAUAUCCGUUUUUAUCAUUUUUAGUUAUUUUCAUUAAGUUUAGUUAUUACGUCAUUUAAUUCUCGUAUUCUCUUUUAAUAUUUUGUUUUUACAUUUUAAAGACACCACCAAACCCCCACUAAACCGUUUUUGUUCUAGACUUCCUUACUUUAACUUAUUUCAAAGGCUUUUUACAGCAAAAGAUCCUCCUUCCCUGUGGAUUCGAUCCCUAAGUACUACAAUUGAUCAGCUGUGCACUUGCGGCUAUCGAUUUCAAUUAGGGUAAAACUUGACAACCCUCGACACCCACACACACAUCAAGUCACCAUCAAGUUUUUGGCGCCGUUGCCGGGGAAGGCACGCGUUUUCUUUUCUGCAAAACCCCGAGAAAGGUUAGUAAAUCGACUCUAGAACCCCCUUUUCUGCAACUUUCCAUUUUUCGGUUAUUUUGUUUCCAUUUCAGAAGAUAUGGAUCCUAUAAAUCGAAAUAUACACUAUGAGGAAGGUUUCUAUAACACUCCUCAAGCCACAAGACGCAGAGAAGAACCUCAAGCCCGAAAUUUUAGCUACAUGGAUCGAUACAGCCAGCCGGGAAGAUCCUUAUGGCCCUCCUCCAACCUACUUCGAGCCACACGCCUAUAAUCCUCCACUUCAGGACCCUAAUCAGCAAGAGGACAACUUGAGGAUCAGCAGACGUUUGGGACACCUCGAAGGAAUGAUUAACCAGUUCCUUGAUCAGCAGAUUCUCACCGAGAACACCCUGCUCAAGAAAAUUGAUUCAAUCUCUGAAGAGUUCAACAAAAAAUUCGAUGAGAUGGCCAAUCAUGUUCGAGUUUUGGAAGAGCAAACCCACAAGGACUCACAAACACUAGCUGGGAUGAUCCAUCAAGUCGCAAUAGAGCAAACAAGACAAGGGUAUGACAUCAUACAAAACUCAAGUGAUAUUGCUGAAUCAAAACAGGAGAUUAAAGAAGUCAGAGAGUCCACCUCCUGGUAUAGAGAGAAGACAAACGAAGAGUUGCAAGAGAUCGAGCACAGGCUGAACAAACUCGAGCUCAAAGCACGAGAGAUUGAUGCAAGAAUGGAGCAUAUGCCCAACAUUGAGCAAUUUGAGAGGUUUUCUAAGAAAUCUCCCAAGGAUCCUGAUGAAGAUGCACAUCAACGCCCUGGUAUGAGUUCAUAUGAUGCUAGUCUACCUAAUAAAGAUGCAGGAGAAGUUCGUGUCAAGUACAAGAAGGAAGAACGGACUUUGAGCAAGUCAUAUCCGGAGCCGCGGGUCCAAGCAUCCUGACCGCGGACAAGAGCACUUUUCCCGCGGUCGCGACUCCUCUGACCGCGGGAGUUGGUCGUUCAGAUGUUCCUCCGGGUUUUGAGAGGAAAAUAAUACAUCUCCUGUCCCAACUUCAGCCUCCAGCACCUAAAAAAACAACUCAGGAAGAAGAAAACCAAGUUUCAGAUGAAGAACCAGAUUUACAUGAAUCAUUACCUUGUAUGAUGGCAAAGGAAUGUGUCGAAGAUUCAGCUGACUCUUCAAUCCAAGAAGACCAGACGUGCAGCAAGAUAAAGAUGCCAUACAUUGAUUCAAUCAUUGAAUAUGACGCUGCAGCUUUCUUUUGUGAAUCCUAUUCUGCGUUUUAGACACCAGCCAACACCUACAGAGAAAGGCAAGUUCGAAUUCUCCAUAAGGUCAAGACUACAGGUCAGUUUCUUAUCUCUUGUUCUAUUAGAGGAGAAAUGUUUAAAAACGUGCUAUGUGAUUCUGGAGCUUGUCUUAACAUGAUGUCCAAGAAAAUUGCUUUGAGACUUGGUAUUAGACACCUGCGCAGGACUAAAGCAAAGAUUAGCUUAGCUGAUGAUUCAAAUGCAAUACCUCAAGGAAUAGCUCAUGAAAUUCCUUUGAGAAUAGGAGAUUGCAUAGUGCCUGUCGACUUCUACAUUGUCGAGACGAGAGAUGCAACAUAUCCAGUGAUUCUGGGAUGGUCUUUUCUAGCAACUUCCGGAGCUAUAAUGGACUGGCCAAACAGGAGGGUUUCAUUUGCUAAUAUCGAAAAAGAUGUCUUCACAGAAGCUGUUCCAUACAACAGCAAAGCAGGAAAACGUUCUGCAGCAGAAGAGUUUGAAGAAGAACUUUGGAGUGAAGAAGAACCUGCUAAGCAAAGCAAGGAGAUGUUGAAAAAGACUUGUCUCAGGACAAGGUCUUCUUCAUUGGAAUAAGUCACGUCCAACACCAAAAGUCGAGCUAAACGACUUAAAACAAAAGCGCUUAAUGGGAGGCAACCCAUUUAGGUAUUGUUUUCUUUAGAAUUUUUCUUUCUUUUUCUUUUGAUCUUUUUCUUUUUCUUAGUUUCGGGUGUUUCUUAUAAAACAAAAAAGCCAAAAAAAAUAAAAAAACCAGAAAAAAACCAAAAAGAAGGAAGGUACCUGACUGCUCGGCCCAGCAGGAACCAAGGGGAAGCAGGAAGAGGCCGCGAUAUUAACCCUGCAGUCGCAGGUGUUCGGACCGCGGGAAACACAUCAUCGACUGCGGUCGCGUGAAUAUGACCGCGGCCAAGUACUUGUUUGCCGCGGUCGUAUGGCCCCUGACCACGGCACUUGGUCGUUGACAUCAAACCCGACCCUAAACCACCCCUUUCACCUCAUUUCACCUCACCAAUCACCCUCCACCUCAUUCAUCACCAUCCACCACCUUCAUCACCACCAACCACCUUCCCAAACAUCUUCGAAUGAAUCCGGUUCAUUUCCACCAGCAUCCCGGAUCCAGGUAAGUUCUCUUUGUUCUUACCAAUUCGAUUAUCUAUGCAUUUUUCUCAUCCAAUCUCGACUUGUUUCACACUGAGGACAGUGUGAUUUAAGUCAGGGGGAGGAUUUCAUCCUUUUCUAACCACCUUUCUUUCAUGAGUCUUGCAUUAUCUACACUUUUUGCAUUUUUCUUAAAGUUUUUCAAAAUCGGUUUUCAAAACAAAAUACGUUUUAAAAGGGAAUGGUGAACAUGAAUCAAUGAUAGUUGACUGUGUGCUUUAGACUGUUCCUAGUGACUUGCUCAUUCAUGAUUUAGGACUAGACUAGGCGGUAGCUAAGCACAUUUGAAACGAAGUACCCCAGAGGAAUAUGAAUGAUUUCGAUUUAGAUGAAGGAUACACUAGCUCUGUUUUAUUUGGACUUAAUUUGGACUUAAUUUUCUCAUUGAAGCAUUAGACCAGGGAAACGAAUCAUACAUUCAGGACUCCUUUAUCCUUUUACCACUCUCUGUUGAUCCUGAAUGGCUAGUUCAUCUUUAGCUAGUUCCCCACCUUAACCAAUCCUCUUUCAAGCCACAUGCACUCUUGUUAUAUGCAGAUAAGUGCAAAAACGUUGGAGAGAAAGAGGAACGACGCAGUUUUCAGUCACCAAGGACAGAGACCUGCGAUUUGCCGGAAAAGUUCCCGGAAGGAUUCAACACAAGAGGAAGCUCAGUUUGCCUUAGAAAAAUCUCAAAUUUUGGUACAAUCUCGUCCUCUAGUCUCUCUCUCUUUAAAAGGCAUUUCCUUUUCAAAAAAAAAAAAUCCGAAAAUAAGAAAAGAAGGAAAUAAAAGCCUUAGAGAGUCUAGAGAGGUUGAAUUUUAAGUCCCAAGGCAACUGGAGUUCGAUUUUAUGGAGUUUUGGAGAUUGUUUUCUGAUUCCCGGAAAGAAUCUAAGUCUGGGGGAACAACUGUUUACAACAAAGGAGGAAGGAUUAUGCAACAACAUUUGGCAAGAAGAACUGACUGAAAACUGUGGACAUCAACAGGUCCUUAUCUCUCUUGCGGUUUUGCAUAUUAUCUUGCAUCCUCCAGAUCUUCAGGUAACCCGAAACACUUUAACUCCACCACUUAAAUAGCCUUUUAACGCCAAAUGCCGUCUACCCUGGAUGAUGUCUUUAAUGAGAACUCACUAUUGAACUUAAUGAAUGUAGAGAGCUAGUUGACUGAAAUCAAGAUUUAGAUUGUUUAAGUUUUGCAUGACGGAAAAAGUGGACUAGUAUCUCUUGUGCUUUAGUGAGAAUUUUCUAGACUAAGUUGUGGAUUGAUGCACUAUCUUUGGUCCUAGUUUAGGAGUUCAUGUCUAUGAGAUUUGUGCAUUCCCUAUUUUUGUUUUCACUUAACCAGUUUAGGCUUUUGCUUUGUUUGAGGACAAACAAAGGUUUAAGUCUGUGGGAGUUGAUAACACCGUAUUUUGACCACUUUUAUGGAUCGUUUUGAAAUACUUUUUAUAUGUUUUUAAUUGCUUUUUAAGUACUUUUAUCACGUUUUUCUAGUAUUUGUAGUUCCAGGACUCUUUUCAGGUAACUUAGGGAAAAGCUUAACAAAAUGGAUAGAAAACCAGAUUUCAGCUCAGAGUCAAACCGUCAGAAGUUCACCCCUGGUUGAAGGCCUUCUCACCGUCUGAUCCAGCUCAAAUUUGGAGACCUUAAAGAUGGAAGUAUCAGCUUUCCAGUGCACUUUACAGCUUGGCAAUCCAACGGUUCAAUCAAAAGAUACGCGAAAAGCAAGAUGUCCCGUAAACCAGCUGGCCAGCACUUCCACCCGCGGCCAACAAGCAUUUUCCCGCAGUCAGGAGCAUCCCGACCGCGGCAAACCAUACAUUCCCCGCGGUCAGAGCACUCCCGACCGCGGCCUUCAACCUCCAAGCCCAAAAAGCCCAUUUCUGAAGCCCACAUUAGGAGAAACCCUAAGUGACGUCCAGAGAGGUCUUGAGCUCUAUAAAUACAUGUCUUAGGAGCCCUAGAAAUCGUGUGUAACCUUAGAGAACCGAUUUAUUUACUUCAUACUUUCAUUGUUUUUGCUUUAGCUUUUAGGGAGAGAGAUUUGUUCUCUUGAACCCUUGUUCUUUCUUUUUCAAUUUCGGUUUCUAUUCUACUUCUUAAUAUUAUGUCUUUGAUUUCGUUCAUUAUGUCUGAGUAGUUUUAUUGUUGGGAUUAAGGGAGUUUCGAUGGAGAUUUAUAUGUUCGAUGAGGAUUCCAUUGGCUAUUGAGCUGAAUCUUAGAACUUUUUCUUCUGAAUUCGUUUUUACUGCAUGAGAGUAGCGUCAUGAAUUACAAUCUGAUCCAGAUGCUUGGUGACACGAAAGUGUUCAUCAGGUAUCAGAUCUAGUUUGGGAGAGCAAAACAAACAUAGGAGUGGAAACCUACCUAUGGGCGAUUUGUGAAUUAGGACGAGUCUUAAACAUAAUGCAUCUCUUCUCUUCCAGGGCCAGAGUGGAAACCUACUGGUCAGGGUUGAGAGAGAUAGUUGUCUAUGAUCACGACAGUGGCGUAUUCAUACGUCCGUGACUCCAGUUCGAAAAGUUUAAGCUAAGAUCUUACAAAAUUUUCUCUCUAGCAAUGUUUUGAAUCGUUCGUACCCCUGAGAAAACUUCCCUGAAGCCCAACGCUUUCUUCUCCAUUGUUAUACACCGAUUUUCUUUAAAGCUUUAGUUCAAUAUUGUCUUUCCUUUUUAGUUUAUUUUCAUUUAAGCAUUAGAAUAUCCAUUUUUAUCAUUUUUAGUCAUUUUCAUUAAGUUUAGUUAUUACGUCAUUUAAUUCUCGUAUUCUCUUUUAAUAUUUUGUUUUUACAUUUUAAAGACACCACCAAACCCCCACUAAACCGUUUUUGUUCUAGACUUCCUUACUUUAACUUAUUUCAAAGGCUUUUUGCAGCAAAAGAUCCUCCUUCCCUGUGGAUUCGAUCCCUAAGUACUAUAAUUGAUCAGCUGUGCACUUGCGGCUAUCGAUUUCAAUUAGGGUAAAACUUGACAACCCUCGACACCCACACACACAUCAAGUCACCAUCACCUUUCAAUCGAUUUUCAUUUAAGCAAUUAGGUUAGCCGUUUUUCCUGUGUUUUACCUGUUUUCAUUAAGUUUAGUUAUUAGGUCAUUUUAAUUCCCGUAGUUUCUUUUUAAAUUUUGUUUUUACGUUUUAAACACACCACCAAAACCCCCACAAAACCGUUUGGUUCUAGACUUCCUUCAUAUUUCUUUCAAAGGCUUUUGUAGGAAAGAUCCUCCUUCCCUGUGGAUUCGAUCCCUAAGUACUACAAUCGAUCAGCUGUGCACUUGCGGCUAUUGAUUUCAUUUAGGGUAAAACUUGACAACCCUGAUAAUUAAGAGUUUUGGCUCUUUAAAGAGGUUAUCAAUACCCCUGUCCUUGUAGUACAAGGGGUUAUCAAACCAAACUUGUGAUGGAGGCACUAAUCUAUGUUACUUGUAUCAAAAGUCAAGAGGGAAAUGGUAAAGGUUUUAGCUAAACUAAUUAACAAGUGAAUGAGCAUAAAAAUGAAAUAAGAGAUGAGGUUUGAACUAAGUGAAGAUGCAAAUGACAAGCAAAUGGUUCGGAUGAUGAUAAUAUAUGAUAAAGGCAGAAGCUUUAGACAUGAUACUUGACUCGGGUGCUUCCAAGUUAAACUAAUGGGUUAAUGAAUCAUUUUAUCAAGCGGUUUCAUUUAACUUCGAACUCAAGGCAUGUUAAUCUUCUCAUGAAAGUAUUAAACAUCUAAACUGAUCCUCUUUCAUACCAAAAUCCCUUUUGAGAAGCAUGAAUCAGUCAGCAAUAAGAUUCAGUUCAAUAUGUCAUUUAAGAGAACAAACUAUCACUCUCGCGAUGAAAGACCCUUAAACCUUUAACCGAGUGGUUCAGACAUUUCUACAAACACUUUUGAUGCGAGAUAUGUCUCAGAUCUGAACCUCAAGUGAUGUGCUUGGAUCCAGCCUAGAGAUCUCGUCGGUUAAAGAAUGAAACAUGCAAGACUAGACACCUAAACCCAUUAAUCUAUCUUGAAAGCACCCUAAUCUACCUAUCUAAAGCCGCUUAAACGACUACUCACUGAUCAUAACGAGCUCACUAAGUCCUUUGCAAGACGUGUAGCGAGUCAUGAUAAGGAGUGUGAUGCUGGAUGAUAAAAGAGAUAAAGAAAGAACAAGAUUCUGAUGCAAAAACGAGAUAUCGGAUUAGAUUAAUCAAGUUUCACAAAAGAGGCAAGUUCUUAAGGCUAAAAGAUGAUAAGAGAUAAGAUGAUUAGGUUUUUGGUCCUAAAAUGUAUUUAUAGUAAAGGGAAAGUGUCGCGGGUCAGCCCGGAACAAACCGGGUACUGAGCCGCCUUCUUGGGUUGAUGGGUGAGUGCCACGGUGUGUCGGAGAGUGAAGCCGAGGUCUUUAUGUCGAGGAGUGCAUGUGAGCCAAGAUCCAAAUGGACAUCUCGUGAAGAACACGUCAAGAACAUGCAUGAACCCUAGUCUUUGAUCCAUCUUCUCGUGUGUGUUCUUGAGCCGUCUUGUUCUCGAUUCUGGAGUUGUGAAAAGGGACCUCGCCAUAAAAUGUCGCGGGGCUUGGUAGUCGAGGGGUUCGGGAGAACAGAGUCCGGCAUGCACGCCGAGGCCAUUACACCGAGGUGCACGUUCAACACUUAGUCGUUUCCAGCUUCAUUUCUUACGUGUGCAUGCCUUGAUCUCAUCAUGCCGAGGUGUCAGCACGAGGUCUAGUCCAAAAUACUCCCAAGAUAUGAGCCUUGACUUGAGCAAUGUCGAGAUACUGAUGCCGAGGCUUGAGAAAAUACUUAGCGCGUAUCGCAACUCAUUUAGGCUCGUAUCGACCAUAUUGCCUUCCGAAAGCAGUAACUUUAAACACACGACUCCAAUUGCUCUGAGACCAGUUCCAUAGUCAAGAUGACUCAAUAAGCUCGAACUUUGGUGAAGAAACCCUCGGAGCUUGUGAUAUAAUCUUGGAUAGCAUCAAUAACGAGUGGGAACCAGAUGGAAAACCGCAAGGAGCUAAGGAGCUAAGGAGUAAAGACAAGGUUCAGGAAAUGGAACAAGAAGACACUUUGCUCAUUACAAACGGUCCUAUAACCCGAGCAAAGGCUAAGAGGCUCAAGGAAGCUGUUGGGGAAAUACUUAAGCAUGGAACGCUUGUGGAACAGAAGGGAAAAGAGAUGGGCACAACUACACUAGUUGUGAUCCAAGUCCGAGAAGACUAAUGGGCUUGUGAUCCAACUAUGUACUCUUUUUCCCUAUCUCAAGUUUUGUCCCAAUGGGUUUUCUUGAGAUAGGUUUUUAAUGAGGCAUAGUUUGGAUCACCUCACAUCUAAGCCCAUCAGCCGAGUCCAAAGCAGAAGAAGAGGAGCGUGUAAAGAAGAGUUCGAAUUCAAACUUGGCCAGCUUUCAAAGAACUAGUUCCUAGACACUUUAAUGCUUUGUAGACUCACAUGUGUUUCUCUUUAUAUUCACUUGUAAACUCUCUUUUGAGACUAUCUUAUCUUUUAAUCAAAAUCUUUUCUUAGUAAGAUCAAUUUUCUUGUUGGUGUGUAAUAUCCUUCAAGGCCUUUCGAUUCAUCUCUGGUGUGUAAUAUCCUUAGUUGAUUCGGAAACCAUUCAUCAAGGGUCUUCCGCAACCCUUGGCGUCUUAUCUAAACCCACAAACCUUGAUACAAUUCGCUUGUGUGCAAGGCUAUCCCCUUUGAUCCAGUUUAGUGAGUGUCGAUUUCAGGGAGAAUCAUAUUAAGUGGUAUCAGAGCAAGCACUCAAACCGCUGGAUCGUCGAAAACAUCAGGUUGUAUCUUUCCUUGUUGUUUCUCGAUUGUUUUUGAGUUUACAAGUUUGAUCAUCAUCACCGUUUAAUCGAAUCUGUUACUUGUGUUCUACUGCAUCAAACUAACCUAGAUUUAUUAAGCAGGAUCGAAUAUCUGAGAUCUAGUUGCUAUCAAAACGGAUAGAUCUAAGUGCCUUUUUAACUUCUAGGCUCGAAUCCGUUUUUUGCAUAUCUGACUUUUCGAAUUCAAUCUAUCGAUCAUGAUUUCUUGUAGAACACGAAUAGUCACUUUUGUUUUGUAAAACGAUCAGAGAAUUGUUGCUAGUGAUUUCGUGUUAUCCUUGUUUCAGGAACAAUGAGUGAUCAACAAGAAGAGUCCAGUGCUAAUGGUGUUAACAAAUUAUACAUGGAGGCAAUGUUAGCCGAAGUUAAGAAGCUUGUGACCGUGAGCCUCGAGGAGUUUCGACAGGAGAUUCAAGAGCAGACCAAACCAAAGGCUAGCAAAGAUAAGAGAAGAGAUCUAGGGAAAGAACCUGAGGAAGUUUUGGAGCCGACUAGACCUCUCAGAGAUGAUGCGGCCACAGAUUAUUACGGUCUUCUUAGUAGUUCCUCAAGAGACAGUCGAAGAAGGCAUAGGCGACACAAGGAAGAACGAGUUCAAGAGGGUUUUGGAGGAGUUAAACUCAGGAUCCCUCCUUUUCACGGCAAAAACGACCCUGAUGCCUACUUAGAGUGGGAAAAGAAGAUCGAAUUGUUGUUCAAUUGCCAACAAUUCGCCGGGAUUAAUCGAGUGAAGAUAGCCACUACCGAGUUCUACGAUUAUGCUCUUUGUUGGUGGGAUCAGGUUGUUACGACUAGAAGAAGAAAUCAGCAAUUUCCUAUUGAUACUUGGGAGGACAUGAAAUCUCUCAUGAGAAAAAGGUUUGUGCCAAGUCACUACCAUAGAGAAUUGCACCAAAGACUUAGACGGCUCACACAAGGCAACCGAUCUGUUGAAGAUUACUAUCAAGACAUGAAGACCUUGAUGCUACGAGCUGAUAUUCGAGAAGAUGCUGAAGCCACUAUGUCUCGUUUCUUAGGAGGAUUGAACAGAGAGAUUCAAGACAAGCUUGACAUGCAGCAAUAUGAGGAAUUAGAAGAUAUGUUGCAUAAGGCCAUCCUCAUAGAACAACAGCUCAAGAGGAGAAACACCAAAACCGUUUAUGGAGCUGGAGGAAUGCCUACUAAACCAAGAUAUUCUAGAGAGGAGAAGCCGAGUUCAGUAUCAAAAGAAGAGAAGCCAGCCGGUGUCUCUAAAGAAGAACCUAAGUCAUUCACUUCGGUAUCAGAUAACCGAAACAAAGCUAUGGGGCCAACAAGAACCAGAGACGUUAAGUGUUUCAAGUGUCUUGGAAGAGGGCAUUACGCAAACGAGUGUUCGAAUAAGAAGAUCAUGAUACUCAAAGACGAUGGCGAAUGGGAAUCAACAGCUGAGUCUGAAGCCGAAUCUCAUUCUGAACAUGAAGAGCUUCCUGCUCAUGGCUCCUUACUUGUAUCAAGAAGGUCUCUAAGCGUGCAAGCCAAAGCUAUAGAAGAGGAGCAGAGAGAGAAUUUGUUUCAUAGCCGGUGCCUUGUACAAGGAAAAGUUUGUAGUCUCAUCAUAGAUGGCGGUAGCUGCACCAACGUAGCCAGUCAAGAGAUGGUUCAAAAGCUCAACCUAGCCACCGAGAAGCACCCCCGACCCUACAUGCUCAACUGGUUGAAUAAUGAUGGGGAAUUAAAGGUCAACAGCCGUGUCAUGGUCCCUAUUAGUAUUGGAGGAUAUGAAGACGAGAUACAGUGUGAUGUGUUGCCCAUGGACGCAUGACACAUACUUCUAGGCCGGCCAUGGCAAUCGGAUCGAAAGGUUAUUCAUGAUGGGUUUACUAACAAGUAUUCCUUUAUUUUUAAAGGCAGGAAGACAACCCUCAUACCUUUGACGCCACAAGAAGUCUACCAGGAUCAAAUGCAGCUAAAGCAAAAGACAAAGCCGCCUACUAAAGCAUCUAACUUCUACUUGAGGGCUGGUGAUGUCAAAAGAUCUCUUAGUUCUAACCAACCGGUUCUUUUAUUUGUGUUUAAGGAGGCUCUCACCAAUAUGACUAACCUCACACCGGUUUUGCCGAGUAAAAUUCAAACUCUUUUGCAGGAAUACAAUGAUGUCUUCCCUGAAGAUAAUCCUAAAGAGUUACCUCCUUUUAGAGGCAUUGAACAUCAGACUGAUUUCAUGCCUGGUGCUUCAUUACCUAAUCGCCCUGCUUAUAGAACCAAUCCGGUUAAGACAAAGGAGUUACAAAGACAAGUCGAUGAACUAAUGGAGAAAGGACAGCAAAAGCUUAAUAAGAGACACGCGAGGUGGAUUGAGUUCAUUGAGACAUUUCCCUAUGUCAUCAAAUACAAGAAAGGUUAGGACAAUGUAGUUGCCGAUGCAUUGUCUCGAAGGUACACUCUACUCUCUACUCUUGAUGCUAAGCUUCUUGGUUUUGAACAACUUAAACUUCUGUACUCAUCUGAUUCGGAUUUUCAAACUAUUUAUGAGUCUUGUGCUACGUUUGCUUCGGGUUAUUAUCAUAGACAAGAGGGAUUUAUUUUCUUUCAUAAUCGUUUGUGUAUCCCUAAUUGUUCUAUUCGAGACUUGUUAGUCAGGGAAGCUCAUGGAGGAGGACUCAUGGGACAUUUUGGUAUAGCCAAAACCUUGAAAGUAUUACAAGAUCAUUUUCACUGGCCUCACAUGAAGAGGGACGUUGAGCGAGUUUGUUCAAGAUGUGCGACCUGUAAGCAAGCUAAAGCUAAGGUUCAGUCCAACGGUUUGUAUACACCUUUACCUAUUCCUUAUCAUCCUUGGACUGAUAUAUCAAUGGAUUUCAUGCUUGGAUUGCCUAGAACUAGGACUGGAAAGGAUUCGAUCUUUGUUGUAGUUGAUAUGUUCUCUAAAAUGGCGCAUUUUAUUGCAUGUAACAAGACUGAUGAUGCAUCGCAUGUAGCUAAUCUGUUCUUUAGGGACAUUGUUCGAAUACAUGGCAUGCCUAGGACCAUAGUAUCUGAUCGAGAUACCAAAUUCUUAAGCUACUUUUGGAAAACUUUAUGGUCUAAGCUAGGUACAAAGCUCUUGUUUUCCACUACUUGUCACCCACAGACUGAUGGACAAACUGAAGUAGUGAAUAGAACAUUGUCUACAUUGUUGCGAGCAUUGAUUAAAAAGAAUCUUAAGGCAUGGGAAGACUGUUUGCCUCAUGUAGAAUUCACAUAUAACCAUUCAGUGCAUUCAACUACUAAAUUCUCGCCUUUUGAAAUUGUUUAUGGCUUUAAUCCUUUGUCGCCUUUGGAUCUAACCUCUCUUCCUUUGAGUGAAAGAACUAGCCUAGAUGGAAAGAAAAGAGCAGAGCUUGUUAAACAGAUCCACGAGAAAGCCAGAGCUAACAUAGAGGAGAAAACAAAGCAAUAUGUCAAGCACGCUAACAGAAGCCGACGCAAGCUUACCUUUGAAGUGGGACAUCUCGUUUGGGUGCACCUAAGGAAGGAGAGAUUUCCAGCAGAAAGGAGAGAUUUCCAGCAGAAAGGAAGUCUAAGCUGAUGCCGAGAGUGGAUGGACCCUUUGAGAUAGUUAGAAAGAUCAAUGAUAACGCUUAUCAACUUGAUCUACAAGGUAAGUACAAGAUAAGUUCUUCUUUCAAUAUUUCUGACUUGAUUCCUUAUUUUGCAGAUGAUCCAGAUUUGAGGACAAAUCAUUUUCAAGAAGAGGGGGAUGAUAUGAUCUUGGAUAGCAUCAAUAACGAGUGGGAACCAGAUGGAAAACCGCAAGGAGCUAAGGAGCUAAGGAGUAAAGACAAGGUUCAGGAAAUGGAACAAGAAGACCCUUUGCUCAUUACAAAAGGUCCCAUGACCCGAGCAAAAGCUAAGAGGCUCAAGGAAGCUGUUGGGGAAAUACUUAAGCAUGGAACGCUUGUGGAACAGAAGGGAAAAGAGAUGGGCACAACUACACUAGUUGUGAUCCAAGUCCGAGAAGACUAAUGGGCUUGUGAUCCAACUAUGUACUCUUUUUCCCUAUCUCAAGUUUUGUCCCAAUGGGUUUUCUUGAGAUAGGUUUUUAAUGAGGCAUAGUUUGGAUCACCUCACAUCUAAGCACAUCAGCCGAGUCCAAAGCAGAAGAAGAGGAGCGUGUAAAGAAGAGUUCGAAUUCAAACUUGGCCAGCUUUCAAAGAACUAAUUCCUAGACACUUUAAUGCUUUGUAGACUCACAUGUGUUUCUCUUUAUAUUCACUUGUAAACUCUCUUUUGAGACUAUCUUAUCUUUUAAUCAAAAUCUUUUCUUAGUAAGAUCAAUUUUCUUGUUGGUGUGUAAUAUCCUUCAAGGCCUUUCGAUUCAUCUCUGGUGUGUAAUAUCCUUAGUUGAUUCGGAAACCAUUCAUCAAGGGUCUUCCGCAACCCUUGGCGUCUUAUCUAAACCCACAAAUCUUGAUACAAUUCGCUUGUGUGCAAGGCUAUCCCCUUUGAUCCAGUUUAGUGAGUGUCGAUUUCAGGGAGAAUCAUAUUAGCUUGGGAAGGGGAAGGCUUCCUGGAUUUCACAUCUUUGCGUCGCAUUGGAAUCACCGGAAAAUAAGCUUUUGGACCGAUGUGAACUCCGGAGACUUUAUUUUCCAAACCACUGUUCCGAAUAGAGCAAUUCCAACUGUUCUGAGAAAGUUUUUCACAGAUCUCAAACUUUGUUGAAGACCGAGCAGGCUUGUUCGGACCGGAAAGGCUCCGUCCUUCGUGAUCUUUGAAGUCUGCUGUUCGGUUCUCGAGUACGCGCAGUACUGGUGCAUUUUCCGGAAGCCGUAUCUUUCUCCUCACUGGUCCGAAUUGGAUGAUUCCAACUGUUCCGGGAUCUUUGCUUGAUUAUCUCCAACUUUGAUAAAGACCUCGCCAACUGAUUCGGACCAGAAGGUUCCCCGGAUUGCUGAUCUUUGAAACGCGCGGGCAAGGAUAGGUUUUAGCCGAGAAAAGCUUCCCGCGGUAAGGAAAAUGACCGAGGGCUAUGUACCGCGGUAAGCUUUUUAGCCGUAAAAUUCCUCUCGCCUCGGCCAAAAACUUAACCCGAGGUAAUUUGCACCCGAUACUCGACCUUGGUCGAUUUUGGUCGAUCGGUAAGGGUUUUGGUCGAUAAUGAGCGUUCGGUAAGCUUUUUGACCGAGGUUUCUGUCCAGCCGGUACGAGUUUUGGCCGAGAAAUUCCUCCAAGCGGUUUUCACCAUUUUUGACCCUUUUCUUCACCGUUUUCUUUUCUGCUCCUCUUCUUAAGCUCCAAAUGGCUCCCAAAGCACCUGAUAAAGACUUCAAAACAUGCAAAACUCUUUGGGACCUAAUGCAAGCCCUAAAUCCUUUUGAUGCCUAAAGACUCAAUUUACAUGGGAAAACACAUGAUGAGGACUCUAAAAUGCAACCUAAAUGAUGCAAAAUAUAGACAUAUCAACUCCCCCACACUUGUCCUUUGCUUGUCCUCAAGCGAAAAGAACAAAUGAGAGAGAGAGGUUGUAGUGCAGAUGGAGCUCAUAUUUCCUUUUUAGAGAGAAGUGAUCACAAUAAGAACUCGGAUUCAUGCUCAAAUAUGCAAUGCAAAGCUAUACUCAGAUAUUUUCCAACUAAAGCACGGAAUCUCCACAAGUCAUCAUCACAUUCAACUCUUUCAAAUUCAUUAAGUUCGUAACCGGUGAAUCAAAUGAUGCAAUGUUCAAAUAGGCUGGCAUGGCUAGGCUAAGGUCAUGAGAUAAAAAUGAUCUCAUCAAUAUUCAAGCGGGAGCAAUGCAGCAAAGGGAUCUCUCUAUGAACGACCAAACUUUGGCAGAAUGCUAAAGGUAAAAAGCAACCUAUGCAUACAAGGGCAAGACUCAUCACACCCCACACUCCACUCAAAGCUUUCUCACUUGCUCACCCUCUCAAGAUCCUCACUCUUCUCAAUCGUUUUCUGUUCACUAGGGGGCUCACUUUCUGCUUUCAUUCUCAAGUCUUGGAGUUCAUUUAUUCGCAUAGCUCUUCCCUUUCACAUCGUAUAGUCUCUUUUCUUUUCAUUUUAGAACACUUGAGCCUUUUUGGCUUCUUUUCAUCUCAGAGACUAAAUUUUUCUUUUAAAAACAUCAGAGCUCAUCUUUUCAAAUCCAAGACUCAGUUCUUUUUCUUUCAUCCCCCUAGCUAUUUCCACUUCCUCUUUUCCACUCAACUCACCUUUUUCCACUCACUAACAAGUCUUUUCCCCCACACUUAUUCCUCGCCAAUACUCUCAGUUCCUUGAUGUUGGAACAUAGCACUCAAUGAGACAUGCCCUUGUCGCUCUAAACCUAACACUUUCUGCUAAGUUUGGUCCAAGGUGGCCUUACAAUUCACACACAAACAUUGGCUUGAAAGAAAGAUGGGUUCAAGGUGAGGGAACUGAUCCAUGAUGCGGAUUCAGCUACUUGAGCUAAGGAAGGAGGGUGGUAAAAACAACGAUUCUAGCUCAAGUAUGUAUAUUGGUAUCCACAAGCCCAUUCAAGCAAUGCAUCAAAAAAUAUUUUCAAUUCAAGUUCAGGGUUAUCACUUAGUUAGAGUUGAGUGUAAUUCAAACUUGCUUCUCAGAUUCAAAUCGUUUCAAGCUUUACAAGCACAGAAUGAGUUCACAAGCAUAUUUAGUUCAAGUUCUCAAGUGAUUUACUCUCUAGGAAAAAAUCUAUCAUUGCUCCUUGCACUGAUGCAAUCCUACAUGAUGCAACUAGACUCGAUCUUAGAAUGCAAGAUGCAACUAGAAUGAUGCAUUUUUUUUUGUGAAAUUUUUCAAUUUAUCAUAUGUACUAAGCUAGAUGAGACUCAAGAAUGCAAAAGUCAAAUAAGAACAAAGAAAACAAGAUCAGAAAACACAAAGCUCCUCCCCCACACUUAAAUAACACAAUCCCUUGUGUUAUAAAAGCGUGUGAGAGAAGUAAAAAGACAAACUAAACAAAUGCAAGAUGGUAUAUACAAGAUGCAUAUUUACAAAGGUUUGAAGUCGAUACCUCAGUCUGAGAGGUCUGAUCCCAAGUAGUACGAGGGAUUUGACGUUGAGCAGGAGGGUGUGGACUGACGUGGUGGGCUGCUCUCCGAGGGUUCCGGUAAGAAAGCUGUGGCAGGAUCGAUCCAGUCCUCUUUUCCUGGUGGAAACUCCGGGUUCCUCGCGUUUGAGCUUUCUCCAACCUCUUCUUUGUAACUUGUGCGGUUGAGGUUGUCGAGUUCUUGUCAGGUGAGUAUGGCCUGGCGAGUUGCUUGACUUUCUUUUUCAGGUGCCUUACACAGUCCACCAACGCAUGAAUGGUCUUGUCUUGCCACUUACACCAUUUUUGGAGGGUGUUCACUCGCGAAUACAGCUUCUUGGUGUGGUAUUCAGGCUCACCCCACACGUAUUGAUCAAAAUGAUAUCGGCCUGCCCAGUCCUUCUCUCAGCGUGACUUUGUUCCUCAUUCUCACAUCCGGCCGGGCCAUUCUUGUUCCGAGGCUUGCUAGACGCGGCUUUGGUGCACUUGCGCAUGGGUGGGUCGAGAGAUUGGUUGUACAACUGAUCUUUGAGGACAUAGAAGGAGACGUUACACUGCUUAUCAAGUAUGGUGAGGCCUCGGUUAGGCAGUAGAACCUGUGUGCCGUCUCUGUGCAUCAGUGUGAAGUUGUAAACCCAUCUGUCUCGUGACUUGCCUCUGAAGAAUCCACUAUUACUUAGGUAUUGCUCAUCAAUGAUAUUCGGCCUUGAUGGUGAAUCAGGGAAUAUGAACCCCUGAGCUCUCAAAAUCUUAGUGACAAUCCAACCGUUCUGAAGCCUCCUUGCUCCUUUCUUCUUUCGGUCGCACCAGACAUUGUGCCUGUAAGUAAGCAUUUGAAUCGCAAAGAACGCGCCUAAAGAGGGUACAUGCAUUGGUCCUUGGAACUCCUUCUUGUUCUUCAUUUGAGUGAUGAGCGGCUUCAGUCCAAGUCCUAACAGUUCAAGCUCGGCCGUGUGAAUAACACCAGGGUUAUCGGUCAAGAAGAAUGUAGAGGCUAAAACUCGGUUGGUGUAUCGGAUCGCAGGGUUUCUGAUGCAACUCGUCUUGCUCUUGCCUCCCAGGUAAGGUCCAAAAGCGAUUGUUUCCCACAAGGCAGCCAACUCUUCUUUUGGGUACACAAACUUGUCAAGCGAGCUUCCGUUCUUUUCAAAUCCAAAUAUCUCAUCAAGCUCCUUGAAACUGACCUUGUAGUGCACGUUUUCCAUGUCAAACUCAAUGUGGCCGAACCCUUUUCCAUGUAAGCGAUUGGGAUCUCUCUUGGGGUAGAUGACAACCUCCAAAGUGGCAAGAAACUGUUGUGUGAAUCCCUCAUAGGCAACAUCACUCAUCUCAAAGAACUCGGCCAAACCCAUGUUUUGAAAGAUGAGGGUAACAUCUUCUAGUAUCUCAAGCCCCCUCAAAAGCUCCUUAUCAGGAAACCGACCUUGAGCCACUCUUAUAGAGUUAAAGUGGUCCAAGUACUCCUCAGUAGUUGGGAAAUGCUCUUCCUCGGGCUCGGGCUUCGGUUCCUUCUUGGCCUUCUUGCCACUUUCUUCUUUGUGAGGGACUAGGGCUCUGAGCUCGUCGUCAUCAGAUCCAACGACUGCCUGCUUCCCAUUCUUCCUUGAUUCAAGAGCCGGUGCCGGAGUGAGAUCGGCGUUCCUUGCUCGUUUAGCGGCUGGCUCACCACGGCCACGGCUUUCCCUUUUGUACCUCCCCUCUGGACCUCGCUUUUGUUCAUCUCAUGAGCAGGAACAGUUUGUUUGCCGGUCAUCUGCAAAGGAGAUUCUCACGGAAACCGUUAGAAUCAAGUAUAUCAAUAAGCACAAGAUAGCAAAACAAAGCUUUUCUUCUAACAAGACUGGUUUUAUAGCUUCCUCAAACAUCAAAGAGAGUAUCAACAAGCUAGAACAACUGGAAAGAGUCAAAAUAUCUAGACAGUUCAGCUCAAUAUCUCAGUUCACAUUUAAAGCCGAUUCCAAGCGCAUUUUCUCAAGAAUUUUAAAAACUCAAGAACAAGUGAUUUUCAGAGCAAAGACCAGUUUUUCAUGUGUUGUCUAUCGUGAUGGAAUUUUUAAUAUUGUUCCCAAAGGCCGAUACGUUCUAAAAGAAUCGAUUCCACAUUUUACAAACAUUAAAGCUCGCAAAUAAUGAAGGAAAAAGAUGAGUUCUUUGAGAUGCAAAUACCUUUGGGAAUUCAAGGUUUAAGCUUAGUGAGAUGCUUAUGCAGAAUAGACAACACCCUAACGAGUCUAGAGCACUUGGAAUCGCGUGAAAUGAAUGAGAGAUGAGAGAGAUGUGUUCGCGAAAUGCAGAGAAAAGAGUGAAGAAGGCAAACUCUGCGUUUUAGCUCAGUAUGGAGGCUGGUAUGGGCUGGAGCGCGCUUUCCAGCUGGCAUUUGGACUGUUGUGGGACUGGUCCCCCCCUCUGCUCCAGCUCCAACCAUUGACCGCGCCAAAAAUAUCUUUGACCGAGCAUUCAAAUUUGAAUUACCGCGCAAAGCCUUCAAAUGGAUGCGGUAUGGGAAUGACGUGGGCCGUACGGUCUGGAGUGCUUUUUCUUGUGUUAACAUGAGCGGCCUCGGCUUGUUCCACCACGAGGGCACCAAACCGAGCGAUUUGAGUAACUCUCUGUGGCCUCCAAGUCGCUUCCAUAGACCGCGCAAAGCCUCUUUUUCGAUCUAAGUGUUCCAAGUGUUCUUGUUUUUAAUCGUUCUUGAAACCGGGCACCUCGGCACUCUCCACCACGAGGGUAUAAUGCCGAGGUCACUUAUUUUAACAAAGAACACUUGGUGCUUGGGGGUUUAAACGGGCUGGCCUUGGUGUAAACUGGUCGCGGCCUCGGAUCGAGGUUUUUGACCGUUUUAAGUGAGCAUCGGUCCUCGGUAUGAUUAUACCGAGGUGUUUACACCGUGAGCCUCCCCCACACUUAGCCAUUUCACCACUUUACUUCAUAUACACGGCCAUGAUGAAAAUAAGUCGAGGAGUUUAGCUGAGGUUUUCAAGCUUAUACUCGGUAAAAGGUGACCGCGGUAUGAAUAUACCGAGGGUCGAUACCGAGGCUAUGAAUACUAUCCGACUUAAAUCGUCAGGCCGUGUAUUUUUCAAGCUUUUCUCUCAAGGCUCACUGUCUAACUCCUGAAACACUUAACAAACCCUUCAAAAAGCUUCAAAUAAAAAGAAAAAGAAGAUGAAAAACGAAAUAUGUACAAGGAUAAGCUUGGGGUGUCUCCCAAGAGCACUUUGUUUAACGUCUCUAAGUUUGACUUUUCAUACCUUUUCAGGCUGAUUCCGGUUCAAGAAGAGGAACUGAGGUAGCUCCCUCUCUUGUUUCUGAUGCCAAGUAAUGCUUUACUCUCUGACCGUUUACCACAAAGCCUUGUCCAUCUUUUCCUUUUAACCCGACGGCUCCAUAAGGCCUUACUUCAAGAAUUGUGAAUGGACCGGACCACCUAGACCUCAGCUUCCCAGGGAACAGCUUAAGUCUCGAGUUGAACAACAGAACUUGGUCCCCUUCUUUGAACUCUCCCUUGUGUAUCUUCUUGUCAACAGAUCUCGUGAAGAACACGUCAAGAACAUGCAUGAACCCUAGUCUUUGAUCCAUCUUCUCGUGUGUGUUCUUGAGCCGUCUUGUUCUCGAUUCUGGAGUUGUGAAAAGGGGCCUUGCCAUAAAAUUUCACGGGGCUUGGUAGUCGAGAGGUUCGGGAGAACAGAGUCCGGCAUGCACGCCGAGGCCAUUACACCGAGGUGCACGUUCAACACUUAGUCGUUUCCAGCUUCAUUUCUUACGUGUGCAUGCCUUGAUCUCAUCAUGCCGAGGUGUCAGCACGAGGUCUAGUCCAAAAUACUCCCAAGAUAUGAGCCUUGACUUGAGCAAUGUCGGGAUACUGAUGCCGAGGCUUGAGAAAAUACUUAGCGCGUAUCGCAACUCAUUUAGGCUCGUAUCGACCAUAUUGCCUUCCGGAAGCAGUAACUUUCAACACACGACUCCAAUUGCUCUGAGACCAGUUCCAUAGUCAAGAUGACUCAAUAAGCUCGAACUUUGGUGAAGAAACCGUCGGAGCUUGGGAAGUGGAAGGCUUCCUGGAUUUCACAUCUUUGCGCCGCAUUAGAAUCACCGGAAAAUAAGCUUUUGGACCGAUGUGAACUCCGGAGACUUUAUCUUCCAAACCACUGUUCCGAAUAGAGUGAUUCCAACUGUUCUGAGAAGGUCUUUCACAGAUAGCAAACUUUGAUGAAGACCUGGCAGGCUAGUUCGGACUGGAAAGGCUCCUUCCAUCGUGAUCUUUGAAGUCCGCUGUUCGGUUCUCGAGUACGCGCAGUACUGGUGCAUUUUCCAGAAGCCGUAUCUUUCUCCUCACUGGUCCGAAUUGGAUGAUUUCAACUGUUCCGGGAUCUUUGCUUGAUUAUCUCCAACUUUUAUAAAGACCCCGCCAACUGAUUCGGACCGGAAGGUUCUCCGGAUUGCUGAUCUUUGAAACGCGCGGGCAAGGAUAGGUUUUAGCCGAGAAAAGCUUCCCGCGGUAAGGAAAAUGACCGAGGGCUAUGUACUGCGGUAAGCUUUUUAGCCGUAAAAUUCCUCUUGCCUCGGCCAAAAACUUAACCCGAGGUAAUUUGCACCCGAUACUCGACCUUGGUCGAUUUUGGUCGAUCGGUAAGGGUUUUGGUCGAUAAUGAGCGUUCGGUAAGCUUUUUGACCGAGGUUUCUAUCCAGCCGGUACGAGUUUUGGCCGAGAAAUUCCUCCAAGCGAUUUUCACCGUUUUCUUUUCUGCUCCUCUUCUUAAGCUCCAAAUGGCUCCCAAAGCACCUGAUAAAGACUUCAAAACAUGCAAAACUCUUUGGGACCUAAUGCAAGCCCUAAAUCCUAUUUUGAUGCCUAAAGACUCAAUUUACAUUGGAAAACACAUGAUGAGGACUCUAAAAUGCAACCUAAAUGAUGCAAAAUAUAGAUAUAUCAAACCCUCAACACGACAGCACAUAUCACCCCUCCAUAAAUAUGAACAAGGAGGAAGCUUAACUUUCCACUCCAUAAAUAUAGACAAAGGGGAGGCUUAACCUUCCACUCCAUAAAUAUAAAAGGAAGAGACUUACCUUCCACUCCAUAAUUAUUAUUUGAGGAGACAAAGUCUACCAUAUAAUAAUUUUUUUUUUCAGAGAAGGCAUAGUGUAACACCCGUAUUUGGGAAAAUCUUACCAAGUAGGAAGAUUGGUUACUGGAAUUAGAUUUAUGUAGAGCCGAAAUGGGAAAAAUCCGGGAAGGUUAACUGAGGAAAGUCGGAAAAUGGAUUUAGUCAGAGAAAACUGGGUUUAGUCGGUGAUGCCGAGCUAAGUCCAACAUUCGCCUAGCCAAAUCAAGCUUUGUCCGAGCUAAAAUCAGCUGCCGGGAUUUUUGGAAAGUUUAGCUGGAUAUUCUGACAAGCCGAGUUUUUUAAAUUUGGUUGGAAUUCAGAUAAGACAGCCUUUGUCGGCUUCGGGUUUGCGCAGGAGCGGUUAUCGGGUAAGCGCUUUCGGGAAAAAGUGCUGGAACGGUUAUUGGAUUUGGUCGAGCAAGCGCUAGCGUGGAAACAGUUAUUGUCGGGUAAAAUAUACGCGUGAGCGGUUUUUAGCCAAGAGGGAGUUCAUAUUGGCGCGAGAACGAUUUCUGGGCGAUUUUCUGCAGAAAAACAAGUGAGCGCCUAUAUAUUAAAGGGUUCUGGCUCAUUUUCUCUUCUUCGAGCGAUCAAAAACCUCAGAAAGAUUGAGAGAAACAGUUUUAAGAGAAGUCAGUCAAGAGAAAUUAUCUGUAGCCGAGAGAUAUCCGAUUCAAGCCGAGAGCGACUACAAUUUUGUCGAGUGUAGUCUGGAUUCAGCCGAGCCAUCGUGGGAACAAGUUAGAAAGAUCGUGCUACACAUAGCCUAUCUUUCUGAAAAAAAUAAUACAUAAAUAGAGAAGGCAUAAUCGAUAACAACAAAAAAAUUAAAAACAAGCCUAUCAUAGAUUUUGAGGAGAUGGAGCCUACCAUUCCGUUCAUAAUAUAGAAACUUAAAAAGAUAACAUGAAUGUAACUAUUACCUUCAAAUUGAUGAAUGAACGAACAGUAACAGAGAGAUGAUCGUGUUUUCCGUAUACGAACGAGCAAGGAGACGAUCAUGCUGAAAACGUGUUGUGAAAAACAACUUUGGGAAGGCGUUCGUAUAUAUGUAAACACUAGAGAAGAGAGACUUAGAAAGAGAGUUAGAGAAUGAAGAAAAAAACUAUCAAGAUAUUUUCUUAUUUCUCUCACUAGAUUGUCAAUCUUUUACAAAGCCAAGCUCACAUAUAUAUAGCAAAGAAGGUUGGAGAUAAAGUUUUAUAAACUUGGGGACAAAGUAGUCCAUGGGAGAUGAAUCUCUAGGGAGAUGAAUAUUUAAUAGCUAAGAAGUUUGGGGAGAAAACUAUUCCCAAAUGUAUAAUCAAUAUAUUUUAUAACAUAAAGAGUGUUUUCCUCUUGAAGCUUUUAUGCUUUGUUUUGCUUGUCUAUUUUAAUUGUUUUCCUCUUAAAAUCAAGUGUAUAUCAUUAGAAUAUUAUGGGAGAUGUUUUACUCUUCGUGUGAAACUUCUGCAAUUUAAGUUGCUUUUUCAUGUGUUAAUUUGUGUGAUUCAAUCAACACCUCCAUCUCCACCUCUACUAUCUUCUCACCAUCCAUUUCAAGUUGUAGGCUUUGAAAUCACUUGAUUUAUAAGAUUGUGAGAUUAAAUUUUAUAUCAACAAAUGCCACAUCACCUUUUGACAGACCUAUAUUAGUGCUCCAACACCAUCUAGCUACUUUACACAUAUUGAUCAUACAACAGGAUUAUCAAACAAGUAUGAUUGUGCUUCUACUAAUGCUUUCCUAGAUUCAGAUUUGAUAAUAAGAUGUCAUAAGUUAUAAGUAAGAAAUGGAUAUUCUACCCAUUUCUGGUUUGAUCAAUGGUCUCCAUCAGGCAAACUGAUGGACAUCAUAGGAGCAUAGGGAGUUAUUGACAAGGGGAUUCCAGCACACACAACUUUGGGGCAUGUUCUCGAUAUUCUGAUAAAAACACUUUUGCAAGUCAAUAAGAUCAAUUAAUCUCUUGGUGAUAUUUUAGCAUAAGAGGAACAAUCCAAAUGGGAUAAGGUUCAAUCAGUAAGAAUUUGUAUAAUACUUCUUAAUCCUAGCAAGCAAGACGUUUUGGUUUUUCAACUAAUGUCUAAGUGAUUUAAAUUAAAUACAAAUAAAUAAGGAAACUAAACAAAGCAAUUAACUAAGCAAGAUUAACAAUAAUAAAAAGAUGAAUCAUUGGGUGAGAUCAUUCACUUUGCUAAACUCUAGAUAUGAUCUAUGAUGCUAAAACAAUCAAUUACUUGCAUAAUCUAGAUCAUUAAUUUAGAGUAAUUCACACUCAUGAAACUAAUAUUUUUGCUAAUUACUUAAUCAAGAACAAACGAUCAUUUGUGAAAAAGCAAUUAUCAAAAAUUAAUAACAGAUCAAAUGACUAAAUAAACACCUUAUACAAUCAUUCUCAUGAGUUAAGCAUGCAAAUCCUUUAUCUAAAUUCAUUGGAGAAAUUCAUCAAACACCUUAUGGGUUGUGAAAUUUCCUAAAAGACUAAGAUUUAUCUAUCUCAAGCAAAUCUGACAUAAAGUCACUUAGAUAAAUAAGAAAACAAGAAUCUAAAACCUAGAAAACAUAGAUCAACCCUGAAAUCACCUUAAUCUAUCUCACACAUGGAUUCAAAAGAUAAACUACUCACUAAUCAUGUUUAACUAAACAAAUCUGAUGAAAGAUAUGUUAAGUAUCAUGAUUAUUAAUGAUUAAGAAAAGAUAAAAAGAAGAUAGAUUAGAGUAAAUUAAAUAAGAUUCAAACUUGCACUGAACUCAAUAAAAGAUCUGUUUACAAAUUUUAGAUACCAAAAAAAAAAAAAAUUUACAAAGGGAAGAGAUGUGUGCUCUAUAACUAGGCCUAGGGUAUUUAUAGGUGGUGGUCCACGUUCAGGUCUUGGGCUCCAUACCGGUCACAUUCUGACUGGUAUGAGUGUUCUCUUUGGGUGUCUUGGUGAUGUGGUCGUGUGUUGAGGGUUGUCAAGUUUUACCCUAAAUGAAAUCAAUAGCCGCAAGUGCACAGCUGAUCGAUUGUAGUACUUAGGGAUCGAAUCCACAGGGAAGGAUGAUCUUUCCUGCAAAAGCCUACGAAAGAAAUAUGAAGUAAGGAAGUCUAUAACCAAACGGUUUUGUGGGGGUUUUGGUGGUGUGUUUAAAACGUAAAAAUGAAAUUUAAAAAGAAACAACAGGAAUUAAAAUGACCUAAUAACUAAACUUAAUGAAAACGGGUAAAAACGGGAAAAACGGCAAACCUAAUUGCUUAAAUGAAAAUCGAUUGAAAGGGAAUGAAAAUAGUAAACUAAAGCUUGAAAUAAAAUGGUGUGGAUCUAUAAGAAAAGAGGCGCUGGGGUUCAGGGAAGUUUUCUCAGGUGUACGAACGAUUCAAAACAUUGCUAGAGAGUAAAUUUGAUAAGAUCUUAGCUUAAACUUUUCGAACUGGAGUCACGGACGUAUGAAUACGCCACUGUCGUGAUCAUAGACAACUAUCUCUCUCAACCCUGACCAGUAGGUUUCCACUCUGGUCCUGGAAAAGAAGAGAUGCAUUAUGUUUAAGACUCGUCAGCAUUCACAAAUCUCUCAUAGGUAGGUUUCCACUCCUAUGUUUGUUUUGCUCUCCCAAACUAGAUCUGACACCGGAUGAACACUUUCGUGUCACCAAUCAUCUGGAUCAGAUUGUAGUUCAUGACGCAACUCUCAUGCAGUAAAAACGAAUUCAGAAGAAAAAGUUCUAAGAUUCGGCUCAAAAGCUCAUGGAAUCCUCACCGAACAUAUAAAUCCCCAUCGAAAAUCCCUUAGUCCCAACAAUAAAACUACUCAGACAUGAUGAACGAAAUCAAAAACAUACAGUAAAACCUCUAUAAAUUAAUAAUGUCGGGACCAUAAUAUUUUAUUAGUGUAUCGUGAUAUUAAUUUAUCUAUAAAUUAAUAAUUAUUAAUUUAUUGUAUAAAUUAGAUAAUGUUUGUGUACUUAAUUAAUGUACAUUUUUAAUUCCUUAAUUUUUUAUACUAAUAUUCCAUAUUUUUAUGUUAAUAUAUGAAGCAGUUUUCUUCAAUUUAUGUUAGUAUUCCAUUUUUUUAUUUCUUAAAUUUUUCCUUGACAUUCAUGAACUUGAGGUUUUGAUUAAUUAUCUCGGUUAUCGGAACAAAAUGGAUGUUAAUACCAUACUCGACUAUCCUGCUGAAAACGAUACAUGCUCAGAAGUUCAGAGUUUAGAAGAGAUUGUGGCUACUGUCCUUAAUGUUGAUGAUGAAGUUGAAGAUGAUGUUAUGGAAUCUUGGUCAAGAAAUUAAUGUGACUUGUGAAGUACAGCAAUUAUUAGGAAACAAUCGAGUUAGAGCUGUAGCUAUGAGUGCGACAGAGGGUUUAAAGAGAGGAAUGGACGUGGUUGAUAUGGGAAAUCCUCUAAGUGUUCCAGUCGGCGGAGCGACUCUAGGACGAAUUUUCAACGUGCUUGGGGAACCUGUUGAUAAUUUAGGGCCUGUCGAUACUCGCACAACAUCUCCUAUCCAUAAAUCCGCGCCUGCUUUUAUCCAAUUAGAUACAAAAUUAUCUAUUUAGAGCAGCCGGACGGACUAUUCUAGUGAGUCUAGUGACUACUAGAGUAGAGUUGAGUCAAAAGGUAUGGUAUAGCAGCCUUUCCGAGCGAGCCUCUGGGAUCUCCUGUAAACCCCCAUGAUGUGGUAAAGGGAGGAUAUUAGGGGAAGCAGUGAGUGGAGAUUCCCCUGCGGAGAGCCGGAUGAGGGGAGACCUUCACGUCCGGUC